CUCUCUUCCCAUGAAUUCUUGACAUGGCUGAAAGUACUAUUCAUUGAUUUAUUGCGAAAGAAAAACACUGUUGAAUGGCUAACAAAAUCGGCAUAUAAGCUCAAGCGAACAAGCUCAUAGUUCAGGUUUUGUAACCUUUAACAAUUCUGACAAGGAAUCCACUGAACAUUCACAGUGUAGUAAGGGUUGGUUCAUUUUUAGCUGACAAAAUUUUGUUCUAUUCUUAGAAAAAAAAAACUAUGCAAAGGGAGCUUUAUAAGGUUCAUGAACAAUUGUUAGCUCAAACCUGUUUAUAGUUCAGUUCUGACUUCUCUUCCAGCAGAAAAUAUAAAACUAUGUUCUCUUGCUUGUCAAACUUUUGUUGUAUACCCGACAAUAAUUAUACAUAUGUCCAGUGAAAAAGAUCAUUUGCCAAUAAUUAUGCAUUCCUGAAGCUUUAUUGAACUUAUGUUUCAAUCCUAAAAGGUUUGUGCAGUGACGUAUGGUUAAUGACCAACUGUUUUGACAUGUUAAUUCUUCAAAAGUGAAUAGGAAUUGUAUGGCAUAACUCAACAAAAAUUUAGAAAUUCUGUUAUCUUUUCAUGUAUUUGUGUGACAAUGCUGAGGUAAUUUAACACUCUAGUUCAAGUACUGGCGACAAUAUUGGCAAAUUUGACCACAAUUAAAGUUGGGGAACCAAAUUGGCCCAUUUGAACUUGGAGGGCCAAAGUAAGCCUAUGGGCAAAGUUCAGGGGCCAAAAGUGGGUAUUUCACCAAUGUAGUAAUUAGUAAAUAUUUUCUUAUGUAUCGAGGCUAUCAUGCCAUUGGUGUUCUUUGCAUCAAAACUGCCAUCUGUUGGUGUUAAUUGUUCCAUCCUACUAUUCCCAUGUGCUGUGUCAUCCAACCGACUUUUGUAUCUCUAUUCAAAGAAAGGAUCUGCAUGGUUUUGUUUUAUAUCAAUUUGUUUUAGGGGUGUGCAAAGUAGAGAACAUGGUCCCAUGAAAAUGAGUAGUUUUACUGAUACAUGUUCCGGAGUUAGUCAAUGCCAUAUUAGAAUGCAUACAUAGACCUGGGAGGACACUUUGGAAGCAUCUAAAACUUAAUGUUAUUCUUUUAUAAUGAUUACUAAACUUCGACAUAACCUAUGCGUGUACUAGAAGAUACAGUUUGGAUAAAAUUGCAUUAACCUUUUCCCUUAUUUUUUAUGAAUUUUAUCAGGCCUUUCUGGUAAUUGCAGGCUGUGUUUCACUUUGUCUUGGAAUGAAUGAUAUAAACGUUUGAUGGGUUUCAGAUGUAAAUUAAUCUGUAGUGUGAAAUCCAAAAUUGCCUCAAUCAACUCAUUUCUAUUAUCUUGUUAUGUUCUUUCCAGGACACAGGGUUUUCUUGCACUGUUCACUGGUGACACUGGUGAAAUUCGUGCAGAGGUUAGGGAGCAGAUUGACACAAAAGUUGCAGAGUGGAGAGAGGAAGGAAAAGCUGAGAUUGUCCCUGGUGUUUUGUUCAUCGAUGAAGUCCACAUGCUAGACAUUGAGUGCUUCUCCUUCCUCAACCGCGCAUUGGAAAAUGACAUGGCUCCGAUCCUAGUAAUUGCAACAAACAGAGGGAUCACAUCCAUCCGUGGGACAAACUACCGCUCACCGCACGGGAUACCGCCAGACUUCCUUGACCGGUUGCUGAUCAUCACAACACAGCCCUACACGGAGGAGGAGAUCCGGAAGAUCCUGGAUAUCCGGUGCGAUGAGGAGGACGUGGAGAUGUCUGCGGAUGCCAAGGUCCUGCUCACCAAGAUCGGCGUGGAGACCUCGCUGCGGUACGCCAUCAACCUUAUCACAUCCGCCGCUUUAGCCUGCCAGAGGCGCAAGGGGAAGGUGGUCGAGAUGGAGGACAUUAGCCGGGUGUACCAGCUGUUCCUGGACGUGAAGCGGUCGACGCAGUACCUGAUGGAGUACCAGAGCCAGUACAUGUUCAAUGAGGUGCCGGGGGAGGCAGAUGGAGAUGGAGAGGACGCUAUGCAAUCCUAGAUGAACUUCCCUUUACACAGGUGUCUGGGUUAGUAUGUACUGCGUCGUGUAUUUCUGAUGCGUCUUGCUUGUUUAGGUUGCUGUUACCCUGUCAAGGCGUGGUGUGUGCGAUGGACUGUCUGUUAGCUGAUGUAGGUGACUAUGCAACUCAAUCUAUCUUAUUAAAAUUCACACCUUCACCCCAGUUGGAGUGCCGUGGUUUGUUUAAAUUUGUGCCACCAUCUCAUACUGUAUUUCGACAUAUAUGCAUGCUAGAUUUGUCCAGGAUGCGUGAAGUAAGGUCAGUUCUAAUGUAGGCGUCGAGCCGUUGUAUGGUAUAGACUGAAAGGGUCAGAUGCUUAUGCUGAUUUGUUAUGAAAAAAAACAUUACUGAGAAAUACUGAUGUUCACUAAUGCUUACUCUCUGUCCUAAAUUAGGUGUUGUUUUAGGUUUUCGUGUCACGAGUCUAAGUUAAUUUGUAGAAAAUAUUUAUAUCUUUAAAUAAAUUUAUUAAAAAAAUUAGGCAUAAAAAUCUUUCCAAUAAUACUAAUUAUGUAUUAUAAAUAUUAAUAUUUUUAAUAUAUAUUUAGUCAAAGUUAUUUUUUGAAAAACAUAAAUGAUAAUUAUUUUGUGACGGAGACAAACGACAAUUUGAGCCGGCUUUCUGCCAAUCGUUAUAAAAUCACACCGGACUUAGCAGGUGUCCGUGUGAUGUGUGACCCAUGUGCCAUCAAGUGGCGUGUUCAAUCCUUUGCAAGGCAAGGCUUAGGCCUUGUUUAGUUGGCAAAAACUUUGGUUUUUGGCUACUGUAGCACUUUCGUUUUUAUUUGACAAACAUUGUCCAAUCAUGGAGUAACUAGGCUCAAAAGAUUUAUCUCACAAAUUACAGGUAAACUGUACAGUUAGUUUUUAUUUUUAUCUAUAUUUAAUGCUCCAUGCAUGCGACCAAAGAUUCGAUGUGACGGGGAAUUUUGAAAAUUUUUGCGAACUAAACAAGGCCUUACUUUUUGUGAGGCGCUCGUAUGCCCGUCGUUAACCACCUCCACGGCGCCGCACGGCCGGCGCGCAGCCCCGCAUGUACCUUGCCUUGGCACGGGCUCACGAGAGGAAGUAUGCGUAUCGCGUUUUGCAAGGCAAAAAAAGCCUCGGACCGAGGAGCUUUCCGGAGCGGGGUUCACGUCGGCGGUUCCUCCUCAAUCCUCCCCCUUCGUUUAUUGCUCUCCUCCGGUCCUCCCCCGCAACCCCUGUCAAGCAGACGCCAGGGUGCCACCAGGCAGCAGCCCACCUCCACGCCGCACCACGCCACCACCGCAGCACGACAGCCAGUCACCAGGAGUGAUCAUUGAUCCCCGCCAGGCCGCCACGCUACCGUCGGUAAGGUCGGGGUCCCCGCCUGCGUCUGCCGGUUGCCCCUCUCCCCGCCUCCGGUUCCGUGAGAGGUCGGGGGUCUCGAGAACACACAGCAACUGCUUCCUCCAAUCCUCCUCCCCCCCAUUCAGCCCUUCCCCGCGCCACUCCCAACUCGUAAACGCUGUGCGCCACCGCCGCUGCGCUUCCGGAUCCGUCGUCCUUCCGCCGGCGCCUUGAUGGACCCAAGCGAUUCCAACUCCGCCGCAGGUACACCCAUUGAUCCCGUGAACCUCAUCCUCUCCUUCCUUCGCCGUUUGAUCGAACUGGGUUGCUCCCUGGGACAGCUCGAUCGCGCGACCGGGCUCCGUUGGAUGCUCCCGGAUUGUACUUGUUUGCUUCACUUACUCUGCGUGUAGAGCUGGUCGGCGGGCGCUGAAUUGCAGUGCCCUCCACAUGAGCUCGCGGUGUGUCGUUACUGGGACCGAUGUGGCGCGUUUGCUCGCUGCUUGUGUAGAUGUUUAGUCACUAUAUAGGUUAUUCGAUUGUCGCUCGAACCUCUUCCGUUGGACGGCAGUUGUUGAUAUUUGUUUUGAUCUGAGCUUAAUGGUGUAAUGCGAAUUGUGAACCCAACUUUGAUGGGGAUGGUCAAGCUCGUAUUGUCAUUCACUGUUGCCAUUGGCAACCUGGCAACUCAAUGCAAUCAGCCAUGAGCAUAAAAGUGUGUUAUCGUGCACUUUAUAUCAUUGUUGCUUUGGAGGCCAAAACCAUGCUAUUAGUUUGGCUUAACUGUGAAUGCUUCAAUAUAGGAAAUGGAUCGAGCCAAAAGGUUUAGGGAUGGUAGUGAAGCAAUGAAAUGGUGAGACUGAAUGGCUAAGUAGCUCGAGGAGUAACAUAUCCACACAGGCUCUGAAUGGCUAAUUAGCUUGAGAUGCACCAUUUCUGUGCAGGCUCAAGGAUUUUUACUCAUAUAUCUGACUAAGCCCAGACUCAUUCACUUGUUCUACCCAAGAUCCAUUAGUACACACCCAUAUCGAUAUCAUACUUAGAUGGAGAAAUAUCUUGUGCGCAUCCAUAUUUGAGGUGAUAUCGUGAUACGUAUCUCAGUACAUCAGACUUUGGACGAGGUUAAUUUAGAGUACAGCCUACAGGGAGGGAUGCGUCAAGUGAUGGGUUUACAAUAGAUGCUUCCCAAAUUAUAAUGUAUCAGAGGACACAAGUAUUCCUACCAAGUUGUGACGGGAAACAUGUAUGAGUUGAGCUAAGCACAUGAACUGUGACCAUACUGUAUUAUUCAGAGAGAUGGGGAUAAAAGAUGGGGAUGAUUAACAUAGUGUUCAUAGCUUGCACAUUCCUUUAUCCAUUGGGCUCAACAUUGUUUCAUUUCUUUCAAUGUCAAGUGCAUUGCAGCCUCUUAUGCUGACAGUUUGCAUUUUGUUGCACAGUAUAUCAUUGGCCGAAAACCUUUUGCAUACCGUAAUUUCUGGUUCAUGAUGAGCAAUAGCUUUCUUACUAACAAUGAUAGAUUUUAUCUUAUUUUUGGAUUUUGAUUGACAUCCAUUAGAUAUAGUAACCUUGUUGCUUAGAUCCCACUUUGGUCUUACUGUAGAUCAUUCUCCUUUUGUGUCAUCACAGGAGGAAAGACACAAAAUGUUUCAGUACCGCCUGUUGAAGGUGUAGCUGGAGGAGGGACUAGCUAUGGAUGGGUGGAUGGAGGCUUGCGGGGUACAAAUCUUGGUGCUGGUGUGAUUGAUCCUACAAAAGUACACUCAGAAGAUCUUUUGCAUGUUUGGUCUAUGCCCAGCACAGCAAAUGUUAGCCAGCAAGAAGUGCCUCGACCUCUAGAGAAAGUAAGUUGGAUUACCUUUUGUUGACACCGGUUUCUUGCUUCAGCUGUUCAAUUAUUUCCCUGAUAUAUGGAGUGUUUUCUUUCUCAUUUCUCAAACACCCAAGAGAAUUGUGCAUCAUUCCAUUAAGAAAGAAGGGAAUACACUGGGGAGUAAAAUAACCUCCCCACUAUACACACACACCCACACCCAAGAAGGGAAUACACUGGGGAGUAAAUUAACCUCCCCACUAUACACACACACACCCAAGACAUAUCUGUUCCUUGCUCUUUUAAAUGUGGUAUUGCAUUUUUCAACUGUGAUCAGAUUCAUUGUGCUUUCAGUCAUGAUUUGACUUAUUACUAUUUAAUUAUGUUACCAAAAUUUCCAAACUUUAAAUUUUCCUUUAGGUCAACCUUUUGGCAGCAAGAAAUGAAAGGGAAAGUUUUCAAAUUGCUUUACGGCCAAAGGUUUCGUGGGCAACUUCAGGUAUUGCAGGGUCUGUGCAGAUACAAUGCACAGAUCUCUGCUCCUCCUCAGGAGACAGGUUUGUUUGUUUAAAAUUUAGAACAUCUUUAUUAGGGAAGACUAGCAUUCGCACAGUUCUAUUCCGAUGAUUAUAACAGUGUUGUACCAGGUUAGUCGUUGGUCAGUCCAUAACUUUGCGACGUGUGGUGCCUAUCUUAGGUGUACCAGAUGCUCUUGUUCCUAUUGAUCCACUCAGUCCUCAAGUAACUCUUCAACCAGGGUACCGUUUCUGUGCUUUGGAAAUCUGACUUGUAUCUACUUUUUUCCUCUUAUAUAUAUGUAGAUUUGACUUUGCUUGUGCAGGGAGACAGCUGCAGUUUGGGUAUCAUUAAAUGUUCCAUGUGGGCAACCACCUGGUUUAUAUGAGGGUGAAAUAUUCAUUACUGCAGUUAAGACAGAAUUAGAGUAAGACUUUCCUUGCUCAUUUCUAUCCUGUUGUCUUAGAUGUAAAAAAAGUUGCCUUUAGUCUUACAGAAAAAGGGCACCAAACAGGUCCAUCUUAUCUGGCAUGCUUGGGCAGAAAAACUAAUUCUUACUUAUAAUGCUGGCCCAAGUGUUCACAUGUGUUCCCUCCAUCCCAAAUUAUAAGCCAUUCCACGAAUCUUGGAGAGUCAAACCAUCUCAAGUUUGACCAAAUUUAUAUGAUAAGAUAAUAACAUUUAUGGUACCUACUAAGUGCCAUUAGAUUGCUCAUUAAUUAUAUUUUCAUAGUAAUACCUAUUUCAUGUAAUAAAUCUUUGUAAUUCUCUCAAUAAUUUUGGUCAAACUUGAAAUGCUUUGACUCUCCAAGAUUCUUGGAAUGACUUAUAAUUUGGAAUGGAGGGAGUAUGUUAGAACAAGAGAUGCCAUUAAACAUAUUGUAUAUGAAUAUACCGGAUAUACUGUGGUGGAAUGAUUAUUCAUUAAGCGAUAUAUAGCUUUUAUUAAAAUUUGUUACUUGAGAUGUCAAAUUCAGAAUCUUGAGUAACCUUGUAAGUUUACCUGCUUAUAUACCUUGCUACCUUUGAAAAAAUCUGAAAGGAUUCAGGUCAAGUAAGUAUGAAACAAUCACUUUACUGUAAAGACAUUGUUUCACACCGCUCUUGAACAAGAAUCCCAAGUUUGAGUGUCAUGAUAUGAUACUUGCAUGUGGACACCAUUGUCCAGGUUACAUUAGCUGAUUAGCUUUGAUUUCUGGGCUAUACUUUCUUACUGACCUAAUUUCUGGUAGCAGUUCCAGAACAGAAUCUCUACCAAAAUCUGAAAAGUACAGGCUAUAUAGAGAAUUAAGAAGUUGUCUUGACCUCACUGGACCCAGAGACUACUCAUCACCAGAGGAAAUGGUAUUCUGCUCUGAUAAUAUAUUCUUAAGGACUAACCAUGUUAUUCCUACUUUCAAACAAAAAAACAUGUUAUUCCUUUUUUUUUUGUCUAAUUGUACUAUAACAUUUAGGUACAAAGACUAACAUCAGCUUCUAGUGCACUGAGGAGGGUGUUGGAUAAUCCAGCACUCCAGGACUGUCAAGAGAAUAAUGGAUUUGGAGACAUGAUGGAUGAAGAUGUUAUGAACAAUGUUUCAGUUCGCUUGAAGCUAAGCCUUACUGUUUGGGAUUUCACUCUCCCAGUGACACCUUCUUUACCUGCUGUUUUUGGUGUAUCCUGGCAAUAUUCCUUUCUACUAUGUUCCAUUUCCAUUUCCAUUUCUGUGCUGUGCAACUGUUAUGGGACUGGGUGCAAUGGGGUGUGCUUCAUGGGCCUGCUUGGCCCAGCAGAGAUGGCAGCAACAGAAGGCGGUAUUAGGACUGCUGGUGCCACAGCCGGACACGUCUUGUGCCAUAGGGACAGCUGUACUCUUGCCCUUGAUCAACGUACCCCCCACCCCCCAACACCCCCACCCCCAUAAGUUGAUUUAUGAAAAGCUGUGAUAGGAUUUGGAAAUUAGAGUUCAGUCUGGACUUUAGAACGUUGAAUUCAUGAGAGAAUGUAUCCAAUAUAUGAGGUUUCUAUCUUUAGGUUUAUUUGGUCAUCAAGUUGGGGUCCCUAUAUGGUAAGGGGCGAUGUAUCUAGGUCAAUGACUCAAGGAAUGCAAUAUAUUUAAGAAAGGUUUAGACAAGGUGGGGGCGAGAUUGUCCCCACAUUCCCGGAAUAGGAACAAUGUGCUGCUGGGAUGAGGAACAUGGUAUAGUUACCUGUUCCCAGUGACUAUGGGUUCUCAUCAUCUCUUGACCCCUGCGCCAGUCACCAACGCUUCUACUGCGCAUGUGUCUCACCCUCGUCGGUGAGAACAGGUGUGAAAUCCUGUCCCUCAUCCAUGCACCAUGUUCAUCUACAAUAUCUGCAAUCAGCCCCCUGGCAGCAACACAUAACCAGAACCGCAUAUUAGAAUUUAUGAUUGUAUUGUCAUAUCAGUGUCUUGUUGAAGCUACUAACAAUUCGCAUUUGAGUUGUGGACAUAUGGAUGUGUUCUCCUUUGACUACAUGUUAGAUAUCUGAAACUGUCAUUGAAGAUCGAUUCUGUUUGGAGCAUGGCACUGAAGGAUGGUAUAGUGCACUGGAUCAUCACUUUAGGUGGCUCCUCCAAUAUAGAAUCAGUCCAUUUUUCUGCAGAUGGGGUGAUAGCAUGCGCAUUCUAGCGUACACAUGCCCUUGGCCUGGUAAUGCUUGGAUUUUUUUUUUCUCACACAAAAGAAUAUACUGGUUCAUUGAACUUAUGUGAUGUCAUUUUCUACUCUUCUGUUUUUUUAGCUGAUCAUCCGAAGGCUAAUGAAUAUUACUCUGACCCAAGAUUAGCAGCAUAUGCUGUACCCUAUGCACCUAUCCUAUCAUGGUAUCACUCUAAUAAUCCUUCUAAAAUUUAUACCAUCUUAUCUGAUUCAGCUUGGUGCUUUAAUUAAUUUGGCUCCUUGUUAACAGUACAGAUGCUGCAAAAAAUUCCCUGAGAAGAGAGGUUGAAAUCUUAAAAUCAAAGCCUCAUUGGUCCAAAGCUUACUUCUAUUUGUGGGAUGAGGUGCGUUAUUUUACCUUAUAUGUCCUGAUUUCUGGGGACACCCAUUCAGAUGCAUGGAGUAGGGAGAAACCUGUUGCAGUUAUGGGUAUGGUUUCCAAUGUCCACUCUACUUGCAAUCGAAGAUAUGGAAUUACUCCUUUGGGUUCUCCUUUUAGUUUUAUUAUGCACGUCCAGUGGACAUGCUCCUGCAACGGAAAGUUGAAUUUUCACUCGGCUUGUAGUGUCCCUCCUGGCCCCAUAUCGACUUUCAGUUCCUAGCAUGACCUGCUUAACUCAAUCUUGGAAGUAAUCAUUGGUAGCAAUUAGCCAUUGGAGGCUAUACCAUUUCUCAACAUGUAUUUAUUUUUUCUGAAAUAAGAGACAUGAUAUUAUACGUGUUUCUGUCUAAUUUUGAUGAAGAAAAUUAUUUGCUAUGUUGUUUGUUGGUGUUCUGUUGCCAUUAAUUACAUCCAGUCCUGUACAAAGUAGUAUCUGUUAUGUCAUCUGAGAUACAAAUAGAAAUGAUGGUUAAGGAAGUACACAGCUCCAAUAAACGUGCAAGUCAUUUUAGUGAAGGCAGCUUGUAUUUGCAAUGCCACUGCAUAACUGAUCAUCGCUUUAGAGGUUUGAUAAUAAAGUCAUUGAAGUUGCCAGCAUAAUCACUUCUAUUCCCCUAGUGUGUAAUGAUUAUUGAAGGAAACUAUGUUGUUAAAGUCUCUUCUUUGUCACUUCAACCAUUGAAGAUGAAUUUCCCUACAGGAAUCUUACCAUUGUUUCCAAUAUUUCAGCCAUUAAAUGUGGAACAGUAUGACAUGAUAUGCAACAUCUCAAAUGAGCUGCGGUCAUAUGCACCUGAUGUGCGAAUUUUGACAACUUACUAUUGUGGUGAGUAUAAGACAAAAUCUGAUGGCCUUUUUUUCUUUCCUCGAUGGCGUUGCCUCUAUCCAGAAACAUACUUUCAUACUUGGGUUUUGUUCAUAGUUUUUAAGGCGGUAAGGCGAGCUGCGGCGCUCCACCACCUUCCAGACGCCUAGGCGAGUUAGGCGCUCGGCGAGGCGACGCCAUACACAUACUCUAACCUUCCAUAGGACAGCACAAACAUACACUUAUACAUACCUUUCUGCUGCCAAUUCCCUCCUGUUUCCAGUUGUUUACAAUCAGAGCCUCAGAGGCACAUAUAACAAUGACACAUAUCAAUAAUUUAUCCUCUCUUAGACAGACAAGCAUAUGUUAAUCAUUCACAGCAAUUAGGCAAAGGCAACCACAUCAAACAUGCAUCAGAAAGAGAGGAGCACACUUGUGAGCUAUCCUUUCCACCUAUCAAACUCUAACAUAGAAUAAAUAGCAGCAGAGCAGGGGAAUGAGGGGGAAGAGCAGAGGAAUAGGAGCAGAGCAGGGGAAUGAGGGGGAAAAGCAGAGGAAUAGGAGCAGAGCAAGGGAAUGAGGGGGAAGAGCAGAGGAAGAAGGGGAGGAAGAGCAAAGCCACGGAGCAGCAAAGGAAAGAGGAGGGGAGGACAUACCUGCUAGCCCGACGGAGCAGAAUCAGUCGCGGGCUCGCGGCGGACGGCGCAGGAAUCGCGUCACGGACGGGGCGGACUCACGCGGGCGGGCCUGGCUCGCGCGGUGCAGUCGCCUACGCCGGUGCUGCCGCGGCCGCCGGAUUCAGGUGCGCCGCCGCACUCUCCUCCUUUCCUCUCUCUCCUUCCUAUCCCUCUCCCUCCCCCUCUCUCAAAUGAAUUGACACGAUGGGGAUUGUGGAGGGCGGGAGCUGUAGGCGCGCAGUGGCUUCUUUCCCGCACGCGCGCAUCGCUGCGCUCUUUUCCCGCGCAAGCCCGCGGCGCCACUCUUUUCCGCGUGCGUUUCUGUCUCGCGGCGUCCGCCUUGGAGAAAAGGACGCCUCGGCGACGCCUUCCGCCGCCUUACGACGCCAUACGCGAGAUGGACACAGCGACUGCGAUGCCCCGUUUCAAAUCUCGCCCAGACGCCAAGGCGUCGCCUAGGCGACGCCUUAAAAACUAUGGUUUUGUUCACAGCCGUACACCUUUUUAUAACUAACUAGUUGCGCAGGAUGUACAACUUCUUGCACGGGUCGUGUACCAAUGAUAAUGAGCUAGCCAUCUUUUAUAUAUUUAAUUGAGCUUGGCUUGACCUUAUUUUAACCAAAUCAAAUAAAUUUCAAUGCCUAUAACAAAUGCUACGUCCAAUAAAGGAUUCCGUAUGAGAAAUUCACUCGACUUAAAUGGGUGGCUAUUGUGUGCACCUGUUGUGAGGUUAUGAAAGGCAGAAGACGAGCCACAUGCAUGCUCGCCGAAUCAUUAAGAAGAGAAUAAAAACAAUGGAGGAGAGGCUCUUCCCCCAAGUAACCAAAAAACAGGACUCUUUAGUGCCACACACUAUGAAAAACAGAUGCCCACUUACUAAGAAGCUGUUGCAGAGCCUUAGCUCCAGCCCAACACCACAAACACUCUUCAGAAACUACAGCUAAAACUCUUUGGACACAAGGACUAACACCCUAGAAGACACAAGCAUUCCUAUGCUUCCACAACUCCCAAGCAACCAGAAUGAUGAGUGAAUUCAGUCCUCUUAGCUCUUUUGGAACAGCCUUGAUUGUUUUGCACCACCAGCUAGAAAAGUGAGGGGAAGCAAGCCCAACACAUGAAAGAUAGCUGUCCAAACCUGCCUUGUGGAAACACAAGCAACCAGGGUAUGCUUUAUUGUUUCAUCAGCUUGAUCACAUACAGGGCAAACAGACGGGUGAGGAAGUCCUCUUUUUGUCCAACAGCGGCCCUUAAUUGCCGACCAAAUAAAGUAAACAGAGAGUGGCCCAAGAUUUCCAAACCCACUUACAAGAUGCAAAAAAUCAUGGUCCCAGUAAAAAACACCCGUUAAGAACCAGACCCCAUAAGCAACCACUGAUGAUGAUUGGGGAUGUCAUGUUGGAGAUGAAAAUCAUCAACAAACAGAUUUGCAGGUACUCCACCAGCACCUCUACUGUCAGAGCCCCCCUUGAUGUCUGACAUCCAUCUUCUGUUAUGCAAAGCUUGAGCCACCAUUCGUUGCUUCCCUGCUCUCUUGGGAAUGAUCUGAAUCAUGUUGGGAGCAUCUUCAGCUAUUGUCUUGCCAUGGAGCCAACAGUCUGACCAGAACUUGAUUGAAGCACCAUUGCCCACCAUGGUUUGCACAGCAACUUAAAUAAGGUCUGAGCACUGCAUGGAACCUGAACUGGCAGUCCAGCCCAAAUACUUUCCUCGUCAAUCUUCUGUUCCCACAGCCACCUUAUAUGAAGAGACCAACCCAGAACUUCAAGAUUAUGGAUACCUAAGCCACCAUAACAAAUAGGCUGCUGAACUUUCUCCCAUGAAAUGGACAUAUGAUUAUUUGCGUGAGGCGAAAAUAUUCUGUCACUUUCCUGGUGCAUUGUUAGUGUUAGGUUCUGGAAAUUUAGAUGACUAUGCCUGUAUAAAACAUUGUGGUUGACAAGUCACGAAUUACUAGCAUAUAAGGAUAUAUUUUCCUUAUAAUUUCAAUGAUCUGUGUAGGCCCAAGUGGCUCUGAACUGGCUCCCUCUACAUUUGAAGCUUUUGUGAAAGUUCCAAAUGUUCUGCGUCCGCACACACAAAUCUUUUGCACAAGGUAUCCACUGCUGCUGGCUUAUUUUUUGUAUUCUACUAGUUUGCUAAAUUCUGUGGGGGGUGACAUUGAAGGAACAUGCUCAGGCGCAGUAGUGAAAAAAGACAUUGAAAGCUGAAGCAACAUGCAUGUGUAGCCACAACAUGAUUUGGAGAUGUUUUCUUAAUAUGUUGCACCAUUUAUUCAAUUUCACUUGGCUAAUGUACUUGUGAUAAACUGUUUCAUGACUAUGCUACUUAGAUUAUACUAACAUAACAUAAGGUUCAGAGUGUUAAUGUUUCAUAAUAUCUUGCACUAUUGCCUUAUGAAUCUGGAGUGAGGACCCUAGCUUAUGUAUCAAUUGGGCAAGGUCUCGAGAGUUCACAUUAACCGUUACAAAAAUUUAGGCCAAAAUAGAUUGAACAAUUAACCUGUGUUAGAAAAAAACAAAAUCCCCCUACUCACAAGGCACUGGCAUUAUGAUUACAUAGCACUGACAAUCUGAUGGAGCUUAUCUCCAAUACAUGUUGGGGAUGUGGUGUCACUUCAUGAAGGUUAGAUAUGUGUCAGAGGCUAGUAGAAGCACUGGUGGCUUGGUGUAAACUAAUGAUAAUGUUACACUACAUCAAUCUCACCAAUAAGCCACCUCGAUUAUUGAUCUGUUGUCUUCUUAUACAGUGAAUGGGUUCUUGGCACAAGAGAAGACCUAGUGAAGGAUAUUAUUGCUGAAUUACGGCCUGAUCUUGGUGAGGUAAGAAGAUUCUAUUCCUCCAAAAUAGUAAAUUCAUAAACCAUGGCCUUUUUAGUUGCAUUAGUCCAUUCUCAGAGAGGGUUGACAUCACGUUAUUUGUUUUUCCAACUAACAUUGAUUCUAACACUAUAAAAUCAAGUAAGCUAAUUGGAUGAGAGCUCCCAGUUUCAUACAUUUAUGAAAUAUUUUCAUGAACAAAUCCUUACAUUUUACUGUUCUUUUUUCUUUUGUUGUUUCUAUUGUCAUAUGGUGCUGACAUGGCCCUUUGUCUCUAGUAUUUUGGUAUGUAUCGUUGCUGGCUGUGGUUAGAGACCAAAAUUUCUUCUCUUGUGAUUGAAUGAUUUAUUUAUAUUUUAUGAGAUUCUAGCAAUGAUGUUAUGAGGUGUUUUGGGGAAUUUCUUUUCUGUUGAGUGCAUGAAGAACUGUGCAUAUAUAGUCUUAAAUGUAUAGUUAUGUUACCUAUGUACUGUUAUCUUUAUUUUAGGUACUGCAGUCUGCAUUGAAGCGUACUUCAUGUUUCCAGAUUGUGCUACAGGCCUACAGCCUACUCUUUCCAAACUCAACUGUCCCAAUCAAUAUUUUGUUUUUUCUCAUUUAUCUUUAACUUCCAUUUACCAUUCAAGCAUGGAGUUCUCUGUUAUCUAUAAAAUUUAUAUCUUGAUGGGAUUAUCUGGAUUCUAUUUAGGAGUGGUGGACAUAUGUUUGUAUGGGCCCUUCUGAUCCUCAACCAAACUGGCACAUUGGAAUGCGUGGAACCCAGCACCGGGCUGUGAUGUGGAGAGUGUGGAAGGAAGGUGGGACAGGAUUCCUUUAUUGGGGUACCAACUGCUAUGAGAAGGCUAUGAUCCCAAGUGCUGAGGUAUACUGUGGGGAAGGCAAAGUGUUUUUGAAUAUUUACCAACUGCUUAUUGUCUUAUUUUUUGCGGUUAUACCUGUCCCCUGUUGCAAGAUUUGCAGUAUAUACUGAUAGUCUUGUGAUUUAGUCUUUGUUUUGAAAGAUGUUAAAACUACAGAGAAGUAUUAGGUCAUGUGACAAAAAGAAGUUACAUGUGUAUGUGACCUAGGUUUGAUUGUUGAAGUCUUGCAUAUCGAAGUGUCUGAGUGUAUGACUGUAAGGCUGUAAGCAAGAUGCUGUGGGGGCGCUCAUGCUGUACAUCUAGAGAAAGUAAGACUAAAUUUGAAUAGACUAACUGUUCGUGCUACAGUCAUAUGCUAAUGACACUUCUCUUUUACUUCAACACUGAGAUAAACUCUAGCAAAUAUGCCAGUGGCUAGUGAUUCUUGUUUUAUAUAUUAGCAUUCUGGUGAUACAACUCUUUAAAAGUUUAACUCUAGUCUACGUUUGGGAAUAGAUUUUGGGUUUUAGUUUACAUUGAGAUUAUAAUUUUCUGCGGUUAAUGUUUGAGCAAACCAUUUUGUAUUCUUAUUCUAGAAAUCAUAGUACAUUGUUGUUGUGACUGAGCUCAGCUCUUUACAUCUACGAGCGUCGACUAUUGCUUCAUUUCUGAUUCUCAAACUUGGCGGUGCCACAGAUCUGUUUCCGACGUGGCCUUCCUCCUGGCGACGGUGUCCUGUUUUACCCUGGUGAAGUGUUUUCUUCGUCACAUGAACCAGUUGCUUCCACCCGGCUAGAGCGCAUUCUCAGUGGCAUGCAGGUGAUAAUUUUGCUGAUUAUUUUUCUUAACAAAUCUAGCUUUUGAGCAAUGGAGUUAGAAAUAUUUAGUUUGAAAGUAUUUGCUGAGAAAACUACUAUCUGAACUAGACUGUCCUACCAAGGCUUUGUCAUUCAAGGGUUAUACUUCUCAGACGAAUGUUAGGAACCAACCCCACUGUUUCAAUAGAUUUCCAUUGGAAAUAUGAAACACUAUGGUCGAUGUUGCCCUGUGCUGACGGCAGUUUGUUGUUGCAUUUUCAACGCAGGACAUCGAAUACCUGAAGCUUUAUUCUUCACGGUAUGGAAGGGAGGAAGGCCUGGCCCUUAUGGAGAAGACUGGCAUGUAUCUUGGCCCGGAUCGAUAUACGCUGGAUCAUGGACCGGUAGAUGUGAUGCGGGGUGAGGUAUACCGCACCUGCAGGUCUUAGUGCAAUGGCUGCCAAAUGUUCAUGCCCUUUCAGUUUAGGGCCUUUGUUGUAUAUAUAUGGUUGUGUAUUAUGUUAUCUAUGUAGGGAUCUAAUCUACCCUUGAUGAUCGAUCCGCUCAUCAAACCUGGACUAAACUAGUCCUGGUGCAUCUUUUGAAUCUGGCUUGAGAGUUGCAUGAAGCCGGAGAAAAAAAAACCAAGAUGAUGUGGUCCAGAGAUAGGGAGCAGCCCAACCCUGUUACAAGGCCCAGAUAGCUACCGGAAGUGGGCCCUAUCUGCUGCAACAGUAUUGACACGACACGAGAUUGGCAUUCCCCGCCUCUCGAUUCCCAGCCGUUCCUGUGUCGGUGAGUCGCGUGGCGUGCGUUUAAAGCUUUCAAUCCCCUAGCCCUACCCAUGGAAAGAGCUGAGGCGGAAAUAUUCUCCUGCCCAGCUGUUACCUUCCGUUUCCUUUUUGCAAUUAGCAGCGCAGGUUUACACCCUCCGAAGGCGCAUUCAAUCGCGUUCCUGCCGUGACGACGAUUCUCGUCUCGCGACGGAAGCUGACGCUGCCGCCGCGGUGCCCCGUCUCUUUCGAGGUCGGUAGCGCCAUGGCCCGACGCGGAGAGCUCCCCGGACCCAGACCACCGGAUCGGGGGCCGUUUCAGGCCCCGUUUUUGUUAAUAAUCUACGUUAUCCCCGGGGCGUCAUCACAUUCACAGGUAGUAAUAAGCUUCCAAAAACAGGGUGGUUCCUGGCUUUCGGCACGGGCGCGCCGUCGCUGUCGCCCAUCCACCCACGAUGAUUUCCCCCCAAACAUGUCCGUCCGAUUAAUAUCUAUCUAUAUAUCUAUAUAUACCCCAUGUGAACCGAGGGAGAGAACACACACAAACGCUUGCAUCGAGGUCGUUGUCACGGGUUCCACAGAAGCCAUCCCUGGAGAGUGAGCAACAAGUGUCGUUAUUUAUUUGUUGUCACUUGUCGCCUUCGUCGUCCAGGUCCAGCCACGCCGGACCCGGACCCUUGUGUUCCAAGAAGAUAAAAGGCUGGCAGAACAAUCCUCGUGUCUGGCCUUGGGGCUGGCUUUGGGGUAAGAAAGAAAGAAAGAAAAAAGAAGAAAGAUCUUUUCCAUGUCGCGAAAUUUUGAUCCAGAUGUGUGGUGCUGUUGGGCAAGUUGCGCCGGCAUGUCUGGCAGACAAAACUGUUGCAUUCUUAAAGGGGUUGCUGUUGCAAUAGUCGAUGGGCUGUUUCCGCAACAUUUAUCAGCACUGAUUUUAUUUCAUUUUAUUCCAUAUUUCUUUACCAAUGCCUUGUUUAGUUGUAAAAAGUUUUUAAAUUUUGAAACUGAAUUAUUUUCGUUUGUAUUUAAUAAUUAUUGUCCAACUAUAGACUAACUAUGCUCAAAAGAUUCAUCUCUAAAUUACAGACAAAUUGUACAAAUUAGUUUUUGUUUUUGUCUAUAUUUAGUGCUUCAUGCAUGUGUCACAAGAUUAGUUACGAAAAAUCUUAAAAUGUUUUUGAAUUUUGGGGUGAACUAAACAAGGCCCAAUCUCAUUUGUGAGACAGAGAAAACUGAGUAGACCGGAGAUCUUGAGCUGAUUUGGCUGAUCAGAGAGUGAGUGCAGGCCAUGGGCCAUUCGCUGAUCGCCUGAUCUCAUCCAGCAGUACCCGUGCUCUGACCGGUAGGACCGUAGGAGAGCGGGAGCGAGUCUGAGUGCCGUUACGGCGUUACUCCGUGCCCCCGGUGCUCUCAUCUCAUCUGCGGUUACUGUGAGCUGGUCCAGGUUUUCGGUCAAAUCGGUUGCCCUCGGCCGGCCGAACUGACGUGGAGAGCCUAUCUGAGCUUCCCACAGCUGCAAGAUUCUCCCCCCCUCUUGCGUACUCGCUCGCCUGUUAUUCUGGAACCGGAAAGAAUAAAAUCAUAGCAGUCCACGAAUCCGGGUGCAGUUUGUAUCAGUGAAAUGACUCAUCUUCGCUAUGGGGCUGUUUACUUCCUGAAAAUGCAAAGUUUUUAAAAUUUCUCGUCAAAUUGAAUCUUACAGCAAAUGCAUGAAGCAAUAAAUAUAUAAAAAUAGCUAAUUAUAUAAUUCGUCUAUAAUUUAUUAGACGAAUUUUUUAAAUCUAGUUAAUUCAUGAUUAGAUACUAAUUAUCCAACACAAACAAAAAAUGCCAUAAUAGCAAAAAAAAUCACAAACUAAACGGCCCGUAUAUUUGCAUAGCUUAGGCCUUGUUUAGUUCUCAUCAAAAUCCAAAAAGUUUUCAAGAUUCUACGUCACAUCGAAUCUUGCGUCAUAUGCAUAAAGCACUAAAUAUAAAUAUAAAUAAAAACGAAUUACACAGUUUGUCUAUAAAUCGUGAGACGAAUCUUUUGACCCUAGUUAGCCUAUGAUUGGAUAAUAUUUACCACAAACAAACAAAAAUGUUACAGUAGAGAAAUCUAAAAAAAUUUCACAUCUAAUCAAAGCCUUAGCUCACUCUGUGCCGAGCCAACACGUAGCUUAACGAACAAUCAUGGAUUCGGCUGCCUGAAAAUGACCCUCCUCUCAUCUCCUCCACGGGGCACGGCGAUCGAUUCCACUGAAUCAUUGGAGUGGCGCAUUUGCUCCACUUGUCUCGUCCUGCUUGGACGUAAGCAUUUAUCCGCUCCUUUUUGUUGCGGAGCUGAAAAACUUUUUCUCCGGCGAAUAGCUAGGAUCGAUAAUUCAUUCACCUGUUAAAUCAGCAGAUUACCACAGUGAGGUCGAUUGCCUGCCUUAUCCUCCAGCUCUUUGGCUCUUCGCUUGCUCCGACUGCGAUGAUGCCGUUUAUGCAUUGCUUUGGUGGUGAUUGAUCACUGAUGGGGCUUCAAUCACUGUAGGCUAUAGCUUUUACAGUCCAAACAUUCAGGUGGGGAACCUUUUCAGCCAGCCAAAGCCAUUCCCAUCCCACGGCCGCGCGCACACUUUGCGUCGUAAAUGGCAAUGCCAAAUGCAGCACGCGAUGGAAACCUUUUUGUGGAGCGGACGUGGACCACAAGCAGAAUGAGUAGUAGGAGUACCUGUGACUCUCACUCAUCAGUGUGAGUGAGAGCUGGAACCGAGGAAAAACAGAGACCAUCCAAACAUGCAGAUACUAGACGGCUACUACAUGGACCUGAUGGACGAGUGACCUUUAAUUUUAUUUUAUUUUAUUUUAUUUUAUUUACAGCUGCUGUGUUUGUUUUAUCAGUUAGGGCACUCACAAUGCAAGACUCUAUCACAGAGUCCAAGACACUUAAUUACAUAUUAUUUAUGGUAUUUUGCUGAUGUGGCAGCAUAUUUAUUGAAGAAAGAGGUAGAAAAAAUAAGACUCCAAGUCUUAUUUAGACUCCAAGUCCACAUUGUUCGAAGUAAUAAAUAACUUUAGACUCUAUAAUAGAGUCUGCAUUGUGAGUGCCCUUAUUAUUACCAGUAAUUCACGGUAACUGCGUAUUCCCAAUAAAGAAAGAUCGCAAAUGGAAUCCUCCACGAUGGUUGUGAUUUGAAAUGAAAAGGAGUGAAUGGUACGUGGGCAUGUAUUUUAUCCGCUCGUUUGUCACAAUGCACCACUCAUCUACCAGCUACGAGUGGUAGGAAAGCUAGUGAAAGGGAAAGGGAAGAGGCUACCUUCCUACUGUCGCAUAGGCAUUUGUAAAAGGAGCAUAGUAGGUAACGGAAUAUAGGAUUUUGUUAAAGAAGUAUGUACUAUCUCCAUCCAAGGACCAUGCAAUUCUAGGUCCGGUCAAAGUUAAACUAUCUUUAGCUUAACUAAGUUUAUAUAAAAUAUUAUUAACAUAUAUGACUUUAAAUAGAUAUGCUAUUAGAAUAAAUACUUCAUGUCAAAUUCAACGAUACUUAUUUAAUAUGAUAAGCAUCAAUAUCUUUUUUUUAUAAAUUGUCUAACGUAGUACUCCAUCCGUUCUAAUUAUAAGUCGUUUUGAUUUUUUUAGACAUCCAUUUUACUCCAUUCUGAUUCAUUUGGAAGUAAAGAUCGUCUAUUUUCAGUUUUCUGUUUUGCGAUAUAUACUGUAGUAAAAGAAAUCUUAUGACCAUGUUUCACCACAAGGAGCCUAAGUGCCUAACAAGCUAUGGUACAAAGUUUUAGAUCAUGAAUUGGCGGUAACUUCUAAACUUGGGUGCGAUGAAGUCAUACGGAAAGCAAAAUUACAAAAGCAAUAAAAAGGAUGGCUCCGAUGGUGUUGGAGAACAAGAGUGUUUGGACGUCGAACCUUAACUAGUUGGCAAAUGAAACUGACACACGAUAAGAAAACGACGGAGAAAACCUUAUCAGGUAGUAGUAUGUACCAUAGCUAGCAGUAGCAGGUAUACAUAGGUCUUGUUUAGUUAUACUUGAAAUACAAAAACUUUUUAAGAUUUUAUAUUAAAUCUUGCGACAUAUACAUAUAGCAUCAAAUAUAGAUAAAAAAUACUCCAUCCGUCCCAGAAUAACUGUUGUUUUUCUUAUCGGAAAAUAACUUUAAUUAAUAUUUAUUAAAAAAUAUUAAUAUUUAUAUUACAUAAUUAGUAUUAUUGAAAAGAUCUUUAAACCUAGUUUUUAACAAAUUUAUUUGAAGAUAGAAAUAUUGCACAUAUUUUUUUACAAAUUAAGUCAAACUUGCAACACAGAAACCGAAAACGACACUUAAUUUGAGACUAAGGAAGUAACUAAUUACAGUUUUUCAAGCUUAGUUGGUUGAACAAUAAUUGUUAAAUAUAAAUGAAAGUGCUACAGUACCCAAAACCUUUUUGCCCAGAGAGCUAAGUGGGUGUUUGGUUGGAGGUGUUAAAAGUUUACCAAGUACUGUAGCAUUUUCGUUUCAUUUGACAAUUAGUGUCAAAUCAUGGAUUAACUAGGCUUAAAAAAUUUGUCUUAUAAAUUACUUUCUACUUGUGUUUUUAAUUUUAUAAAUAGUCUAUAUUUAAUAAUUUAUGUAUAUAUCUAAACAUUCGAUUGGAUAAGUGUUAAAAAAAUAAAAGAAACCAAAUAGACCCUAGACCAGGCCUAUCCCAAAAGGAACGCAUCAAAUCGUGGCCUAACCAUGUGAUCGGGAGCCGUCUACAUUUGCUCUCAGUAACACAAAAGGUAUGGAGGGAGGGAGAAGCGGUCAGAAAACCCACACGCCAUAGCGGUUCCUUGAGCAGCACUCCCCGUUCCGUUCCGUGCACAGCGGCAGGCAGAAUCCCAAGCAAAACGCAGGAGCCGGGGGGGUCUUGCGGUGCCUUGCAACGGCAGCUAAAAGUCGAGAUAUUCGCACGAAACCCACGGAAAAUUAGCAUCGUAGAGCGCCAUCGCGCUCGCGCGUACGUAGCAACCGCUCCGCAAGCAACGCGACGAGCCUGUGCCUGGCCGGUUCACGAUCACGAGCUGCUAUCCCUCUUUCUCUCUGCGGCGUCGGUCAACCACCCGCGCCCGCGCGCCCGCGCAGACCCAGGCUGCCGUGUGCCUUGGCGAGCACUGAAAUCAAGGCCUUGUUUACUUCCAAAAUUUUUUACAAAAUAGAAAUAGUAGCACUUUCGUUUGUAUUUGACAAAUAUUGUCCAAUUAUAAACUAAGUAGGCUUAAAAGAUUCGUCUCGUCAAUUCCGACCAAACUGUACAAUUAGUUUUUAUUUUUAUUUAUAUUUAAUACUCCAUGCAUAUGUCUAAAGAUUCGAGGUGACGGAGAAUCUAAAAAUUUUACAAAAUUUUUUAGAAACUAAACAAGGCCCAAAUCGCUGCUGAGUUUUCCCCGAUCCCAUCUCGUCUCGUAUCUUCCGCUCGCUGUGGUAGGAGGAGUACGCACUGUAGCCUGCUACGCACGCACGCACGCACUGGCAGACGCACAGGCACAGAUGAUCAUGGACACUAGAGGGAGGGAGGGAGGGUGGCCGAGCCGGGGGCAGCAAGGCCAGCCAGCGUCGCGCCGGGGGCCGGGGCAGCGCCGCCAGGCUUUCCCGGGCGUAUGCGUAUUAUCGAGUGCGCGAAUCCACACGCGGCCGCGCUCCCAUACCGCUCUUUCUGUGUCCAGGUAAACAGCAUCAACUUUUGUUUGGUAUCCGUUGCCUUGCCCACUUGACUUGACCACCGUCCACCACUCAUCAUCGCCAUCCGUUACAAGCAUCUCACUCACUCACUCACUCACUCUCACACCGUCACACGCUCACAUCAUACUUCACCGGACGGACCCAAGCAGAAGGCGGUGCCCGGCGAAGCGGCGUCGCCGGAGCCCCGCUCUCUGAUCUCUGAAGCAAAGCCAAGGCGGACCAGGCCAGUCGAUAGAGCAGAAAAGAGGUGAGGGUAGUCGCAGCAGUAAUAAAACCGCGGCGGGGGCGACCACGUGCGCCACGCCUCGCGUCGCGGGGCGGCAUGGGCGGAUGCGGAUUGGGUUUGGAUCGGCCUCCGCCUCCUCGGCACUCGGCGACACUUCGGUUUGGCGCGGUGGCGUGCGACGCGACGGGAGCCUGCCUGCCUGGCUGGCCCUGCUGCUGCUGCGGCUGCCCCUGCCCCUGCGAGUGCGCGUACAGCCUACUGCAGCGGCCGCCCCAGCCCCACCCCACGCCCCCGCGCGCCGGACCUGUCUGUCGCCUCGUCUCGUCGUCUCAUCCCCGAUGCGGUGCGGUGCCACUCCCACCACCUCGUCUCGCCGCUCGCUCGCUCGCUCGCUCGCGUCCUCCCCAAUAGAAAAGCAAGCCGCAAAAAUAAUCGCCAAAGCCCAAAAGAGAUAGGGAGAGAGAGAGAGAAGAGGAGACGCGACGCGAGGGGAGGGGAGGAGGAAAAAGCGGAGGGAGAAAAGAAGAAGAAGAAAAAUCCCCGUCCACCGCCCGCCCGCCCGCUGCGCCGCCGCGCGCUGCACACACGGACGGACGGACGGACCUCCCCCCCGAGCGCUGCCGGAUUCAGUCAGUGAGGCGCGGACUCGGGGCUGAGACGGAGCGGCCGACAGAUCGAGCGCCGGCGAUGCAGCCGCCGCACCCGGAGGCGGGGCCCGAGCAGGAGGCGGUGCCGGCUCCAGUCAAGAAGAAGCGGAACCUCCCCGGGACGCCAGGUCUGUGCUCGCCCGCCCGCCCGCGGUUGCUUUGGGGUUGGUGUGCGUGCGUGCGUACUACUGCUGCUGCUACCUCCGCGCCAGCUCGCGUGCGUGCUCUGACAGUUUGCUUGAUUGCUUGACCGCCGCCCGCUGCCCGUCCGCGGCCGCAGAUCCGGACGCCGAGGUGAUCGCGCUCUCGCCGGGGACGCUGCUGGCCACGAAUCGCUUCGUGUGCGAGGUCUGCGGCAAGGGCUUCCAGCGGGACCAGAACCUGCAGCUGCACCGCCGCGGCCACAACCUACCCUGGCGGCUGCGGCAGCGCGGGCCGGGCGCCGCUCCGCCGCGCCGCCGGGUUUACGUGUGCCCCGAGCCAGGCUGCGUGCACCACGCCCCGACGCGAGCCCUCGGUGACCUCACCGGGAUCAAGAAGCACUUCUGCCGAAAGCACGGGGAGAAGCGCUGGGCGUGCCCGCGCUGCGGCAAGCGCUACGCCGUCCAGGCCGACCUCAAGGCGCACGCCAAGACCUGCGGCACCCGCGAGUACCGCUGCGACUGCGGCACGCUCUUCACCAGGUGCGUCAGCGUGAUUGCUUGCUUCUUCUUCCUCCUCAGCCCCCGAUGCGGAAAAAAAAAAGGAAAGUUGCGUUUUUCCUUGUUUGAUUCAUCGGAUGCUGUGCUUGCUUGCUUCAGACGGGACAGCUUCGUGACGCAUCGCGCCUUCUGCGGCGCUCUCGGGGAGGAGACCGGCAGGGUGCUGGCGCCGCCGGCGCCGCCAUCGCCUCGGCCGCCUGAUUUGGAAGCUGAGAAUGUUGACAAGGACAAGGACAACGACAAGGGGGAGGAGGAGAAUGAGGAUUCUGCCGUGGCCGAGGUGGAGGAGCCUCAGCGUGUGGAGGUGGUGCCAGAGGAGCCACAGCGCAUUCCGUCUCCACCUCCAUUGCCACAGGAGCCACCGACCCAUCCGUCUCCACCUCCAUUGCCACAGGAGCCACCGCGCCACCAGUCUCCACCUCCAUUGCCGCAGGAGCCACCACGCCGGCUGUCCCCACCCCCGUUGCCAAAGGAGCCACCGCGCCGGCUGUCCCCACCUCCGUUGCCAAAGGAGCCACGGUGCCGUCCAACUCCACCUCCAUUGCCAAAGGAACCACAGCGGCUUCCGUUUCCACUGGAGCAGCAGCCAGUUGUGGCAUUGGUGCCAAAUCUGGAUGGUAUGCUCCUUUUGCAAUCUGUUCGUGUGCUUGUCUUAUUGCCCAUACAUAGAUAUGAUGAGACUUAAUGCAGGUUCUGCUCUUUAAGUCAAUCUUACCAUGUUCAUAAGAAAGCAAUGCAUGCAUCUUGGCUUUUUCCCCAAUUUGGUUGGCCAGCUGGUCAAUUAGCUCAAUAGGGAUGACUGACUUGUUCUUCCUUGUUUUGUAGAGCCAGAGGUGGUUGCUGUGCCAACUGUGACUGCCAAAAUAGAGGAUGAAGCCGAUCAAGAUGAAGAUACCUGUUUCCAGGAAGCUGAUCAGUACAAGGAUGCUGAGCUUGAGGUCUCCAAUCUGCUGGACAAGGACACCCCAAUGCCUCCUUGCUUGCUCCCCUCGCCCUCAGAAGCUAUUGGUACUGAUGGAAGCAGCACAACCUGCGGUGCAGGUGGCAGUGUUUCCAAUUCCAUCGCGCCAUCGACAACCACCAACACAUUUGCCGGUCUGUUUGCGUCAGCCACAACAAGCACCACUUCCCAGAGCAGAUCUCUGCGCGAUCUCAUUGGUGUAGAUCCCACAUUCCUUUGCCUUGCAAUUGGAGCGCCCUCUAUGUUCCCGCAGACAAGCGCAAGCAAUUCAGGCACCUUCGCCCCGCCUCCGGCGCCACACAUGUCCGCGACAGCGCUCCUGCAGAAGGCGACAGAGGCUGGAGCCACACAAUCAAGCUCAUCAUUCUUGAAGGAGUUUGGGCUUGCCUCUUCCUCUUUGUCAUCGCCUCCAUCAAAGCAGCAACCCCAAGGAAGGAUCGCUGAUACCAGCACGGAACCAUGGCAGUACCGGAGGAACCAGCAAAUGGAGAUGGAGCGUCACCAGAGUCAUCAACGGAGGGAGAUGGAGUCCAGUUCACAACCAUGGCACCCCCGUAGUACCCAGCAAAUGGAGAUGGAGCGCCACCACCGGAAUCAUCAACAAAGGGAGAUGGAGUCGAGUUCGCAACAAUGGCACCACCACCGGAAUCAUCAACAAAGGGAGAUGGAGUCCAGUUCGCAACAAUGGCACCACCACCGGAACGACCAGCAGAUGGUGGGGUUGGAGAGCUACCGGAGUAAUCAGCAAAUGCAGAUGGAGUCCAGUUCGCAACGAUGGCUGCACCCCAGGAGCUAUCAGCAGCAAAUGGAGGUGGAUUCCAGUUUGCAACGGUGGCCGCACCACAGGAGCAACCAGCAGCAAAUGGAGAUGAUGGAGCGGCACCACCGGAGUAACCAGCAGCAAAUGGAGAGGGAGUCCAGGGCGAUGCUAUCUGGCGGUCUCGGCCUUGGCCUUGCAUACGAAAGUGGAAACUCAGGCUUGCCGGACCUGGUGAUGGGACCAUCACCACUGUUCGGUCCUAAGCCUGCUGCAACGCUGGACUUCCUUGGGCUUGGCAUCGGAGGGACCAUGGGCGGCUCCACGGUUGCCAACCGUGGCCUCCCGGCAUUGAUGAUUGGAGGAGAGCUGGACAUGGGGUCUUCGGCACAGGUGCCUGCGCCAUGGGAGGACGCCAAGAGGAAGACCAACAACGGCCGCACGAUCCUGUGAGGUUUUCUCCUGUUUUUUUGUUUGGUUGGUAACCUUAGAGGAGUUCCGUGCCUCGGCUUGCCCAUCAUUCUUUUAGCCGCAGCUGUGCAUGCUUUUGGUGGAGGAGCUAGAAGCUCUGUAAGAUGCUGAAGACCUGUACAUAGCUCGAUCGAUGCUUCUCCCAAUCCUGCAUUCUGUCUGGAAAAAAAAAUAAUAACCCCCACGAAUUGAAGCUGUUAUUAUAGCCACAAUUCGAUUCGAUCCCGGCAGGAUGGAACCUGACCUUUGAUGCCCCGUUGCUUUCGGAUGUGAUGAGGCAACAGGGUUAGUAGUAGUCGUACUACCAGAAAUCUUGCGGUGAUAACUCGGUACUGCUUUUGGAAAGAUCCGAGAUUAGGACAGCGAUGCUGACAUUGGAAAGGUGUUUUUUACUGUUACUGUUGUUGUUGAUGCUGCUGCUAAGUCGGCACGGUUACUUACCUAACCUGCUGCUGGUCUGCAAGCUUCCACGGGAGCCUUUGGUACUUUUGGAGAAGCUAUCGUGUACUUUUGUGUCUAAAAUAAACCUGUUUAUUGAUAACUUUACCUUCCGUUCCUGUUGGACGGCACUCAAAAAGCUUGACAGCUUCUCUCCAUGCCCUGUAAAAAUCUCUUUCACUGCUGUUGUUAUCAGCCGGGGGCUUUGUCACACCACAGUAACGACUAGCAAGUUUCUCUAGGGCCCUGCUGGGCAGCAGCCAGUACGCUGUACGCCGAGGCCAUCCGACCCUACUGGCAGGUGGGGCUCGUCGAGGCCCCCUACCCUUUCUAAAACCUCUCAUUUUCACAGAUUCGCAGCUAUGGAACUACAGAAGGUGAUGAGAGGAAGUUCCUCUUAGCGGUAGCGGUUGUUAUUAUACUACUACAUUUGUCACUGUCUCUCGCCAGCGACCGCUAAACUGCUCAAUCACCGUAUGUUUCAUCUGAAAUUGAGGUCGUUUUCCUUUGGUUCUUUCGACUCGUCCCGAGAUUUUUUUCCUUCCGCAAAGGCGAAAGCAGGUGGCGGGGAUACGGUAUGCCACGAGGUUUUCACGGCACAGUUGCAGCCGCCGUGGCUCCGGCACCGGUACCAGUAGCAGCAGCAGCGCAGGAUGAUGGGUCGCAGCAUGUUGAACGUGUCAGGUUCCUUUCGGCAACGGGGAAAGCAUCCGGCAUCCCGGUGGACGUGUCGAGGAUGCGCCCCCGGUCGUACCGAGCUACAGUCUUUGCUGGUCCGACGUGACGAUCGAUCGUGGCCUAAUCAGUGUGGCCAACACAGAACCACUCUCGGUGGCUCUCGGCUAGGGCCUUGUUUAGUUCCAAAAAAUUUUACAAAAUUUUUUAGAUUUCCCGUCACAUCGAAUCUUUAGACUCAUGCAUGGAGUACGAAAUAUAGAUGAAAAUAAAAACUAAUUGCAUAGUUUGGUCGAAAUUGACGAGACGAAUCUUUUGAGCCUAGUUAGUCCAUGAUUGGACAAUUUUUGUCAAAUACAAACGAAAGUGCUAUAGUGUCAAUUUUGUAAAAUUUUUUGGAACUAAACAAGGCCUUAGGGAUUGGAUCGGAGGGCGUCAUUAUUGACGAAGCCACGACACGAGUAUCCUCAAGAGUGUGGGUUUUUAGCCAAGCUAAUAAGUAUUUUUACUGACGUGAAAGAGAGAAAAUGACAGAGAAGAGAGCUUAACUCUUAUUUGAGCAUGCGUAGAAGCAUACUCCCUCCGUCCCUUUAAAAGAGUCGUUCAAAGAUUCAAAUGUUGUCCUAGAAAAAACGUCGAUGGACUGUGUCCUAGGUACAGAGUGUCGUACGAGCAGUUGUCUAUGUCCACCGACCAGCGGCCAGCUUACAGCCUAUCCCUUGGCUCCUCCCAUUCAAAUUGUGCUGCUACUUGUACUACUAGUAAUACUUUUUACCAGCUAUAAUAGGGGUAUGCAGGUAUUUCACCACCUUUAUUGGUACAAGGGCUUUGCUCCCAAAUGACAAUAUUUAUGGGACAGAGGGAGUAGAUAUCUGUGGGCCCAAAACAAUAAUGUAUGUGAGAAGAAUUCGAGAAGCGAAAAUGAAAUUAGGUAUCAUAUAAUAAUAAAAGAUUUUUUUAUAGACAAAUAUGAAACAACUAUUGUAUGACUUAGCUCUUAUAAUUUGAUCUAUAGCCAUGCACUUGACUUUUGUUGUAAUAAUCUCUUACCGUGUGUUUGGUUGGAGAGCGGGGCGAGCCGGGUCGGAGCGAACCCGUUCCCGUGGCUGUUUGGUUGAAGAAUGGGAGGGUUGGGUUGGCCCCAGAGUGGAAUAUUCCUCUCAGAUGCGGGUUGGACUCGUCCGUCAAAAUCUGGCGGACGGAGCCGCUCCAGCCGGGUUGAUGUUCACCAAACGCUGAAUUCCUUCAACCAAACACUGAACGGAGCCGCUUCGUCUCCAAUCCUUCAACCAAACACGAAACAGGUUGAGUCUGUCCCCAAAAUCAAAGUACAACCAAACACUCUUUUGGGCUGGCUCCAUCCAAAAAAACUGGGUUGGAUCCAACCCAACCUCAAACCAAAGACACGGUUAUACAGGCUUUAGUCGGAACUAGAGGAAAGGAUAUCACUGUUUGGUUAGUUGGUAGGUAGGUGCCCACACGUGCCAAAAACAGAUGGCUUCGGGCAGACACACACACAUCGUGGCAGAUGAUUUUUGUACUUUUGAACAGUUUUCUAGAGGGGAAAAAGGGGUGAGUACAAGAAGCCUCAUAAAAAAAAUACGACGCUGUACCUUGGCUGUAAAUAUAUAUAUUUAGAAAAAUUGGUACGUGUAAUCCAAAAGUACCAUCUUGGAUCCGCAAGAGAUUCAACAACUCCUGGCCACUGGAAGUUUACAAUAAAGGAAAAUGCUGCCUAUACUGUUUCAUUUCAUGUAUCAGAAACUGAAAUGCGCAAUGCGGAUAUACUAACAUUAUUGAAGCUAGUCGUCAGAUUCUAAUUUCCCCAAAAAGGGUUUAGUCCUUUGCCACACUGCACUCACUCACCCCCCAAAGUUUGCAACUGGGUUGCCAUUUCAAAAAGUACAGGUUCGUUGGAUCUCGAAAUAGCCAUUACGCGUGUCUGCAGAUCAAUCCACGUACAUUUCCUACGUCUAGUAGCUGGCUAUCGUGGCUGUACCAUGUUCGAUGGUUCGGAAAUGGAUGUUUUUCCUGUUUCGGCGACACAUGCAGGAACGGCGAGGGGCACCAUUGCUCAACUUAGGCCUUGUAUAGAUACAUUCAAAAAUCUAAAACUUUACAAAAUUCCUUAUCACAUCGAAUCUUGCGGUACAUGCAUGGAGUAUAAUCUUUUAAGCCUAGUUACUCUAUGAUUGGACAAUAUUUGUCAAAUAAAAACAAAAGUGCUACAGUGACAAAAUCUAAAAAGUUUUUGGAUCCAAAGUGACCAGAUGCAUAUACCCCUACACGUAGUUCCGUCAAUGGAGUAUGUGUUCGCGAAGCGAUCCAGGCGUUUUUCCGCUAGAUGGAGGCCUAUGCUUUCGAAAACCCGUUACGUGUGUGCCCCCUAAUUGAGCCUUUUCCAAGUCAUGAUCGCUGGUGUACCCUAGAAUAGAUUGCGGCACUAUCCACCAACUCCACUGAAUGGUGAACGGCGAUCGAUCAGACACGUCCCGCAACUUUUUUAUUUUUAGCAAAAAUUAUUUUCACAACUUUUAUUUUUUAGAAAGUUAUUACAAAAUUAUACACAUAACUUCAUCGUAUAAUUUUUAGAACAAACUUUAGUGUAUGGCUUAUACAUAUAACUUAUACAAGUUACAUACAUAACUUUUACAUAUAACUUACUACGCGAGAAAGUUAUACUCAUAACUUUUAUAUAUAAUAUUUUGCAGAACAAAUCUAUUCCCUCAGUCCGUAAAUAAAUGCACAUAUUGUUUCGUGAGGAAUCAAACUUUUUUAAGUAUGACCAAAUAUAUACAAAAAGAUACUAAUAUUUAUCAUAUAUAAUAUAUAUCAUUAGGUUGAGAAUAAAAUAUAUUUUUAUAAUAUACUUAUUUUUAGAUACAAAUGUUGAUAUUAUUUGAUAUAUUUUCAGUCAAACUCAAAGAAGUUCGACUCCUUGGAAACAUUUAUUUGUGGAGGGAGUAUCAACAUAAACUUUUAUGUAAAACAUUUUGUAGAAAAAGUUAUUAUCCCAUUAUAAUUUGUUGGUACAGUUUCUAUGUAUUUUAAAGACAACUUACCAUGAUAAUUUUAUAUGUCAUUAGUAAAAUUAUUGUAAAAAGUUGUGCUAGAAAAUUUAUGUUAACAAAUUAUUGUCAUAAACUAAUAUAGAAAAAAAAUCCGUGCUAAGUUGUCUCUGAAAAUACAUAAAAUCUGUAUCCAAAAGUUUUGUUAUACUAAUAAUUUCUGCUAUGCAAAAUGGUAUAUUGUCAAAGUUUUGAAUGUAAGUUGUGAUAAUAAGUUAAAUCCAGUAAAUAUUAUGUAUAAAAUUUAUGUGUAUAACUUAUUAACUUUCCAAAAAUAAAAAAAUCACUGAAAUAUUUUUUUUAGAAAAAGAGUGGCGAGGCUGCUCAUCUUUCGCUGCAUUUGAAUCGAGUGAACCACCACGGAAGUAGAAUGCGGAACUAUCCACUCACUUGCUAAUUAGUACUGGCAUCUCAGCGACAGUGCUAAACAAAAUUAAUGAUAAAAAGAAGAGAUGGAAAUAAAAAUCUUUCUUGUUUUGAAAGUAAGUUCCGACUUUAUUAGUAAAAUUGAUGGUAAAGAAGAGACAGGGAGAUAUAAAAGAUAUAUAUGGCUGUUUUGCAAAGCAACCCCGCAUAACCUAAAAUUUAGAACCAUGGCGUAACUCGUGAGCCAUUAUAUUAUAUAAGUUUUUGUUGUCAUGCAAUGAGCGGAGCGCAAAUCACAAACCUUUCUUUGGGAUUUUGAAACUACUACUACUACAAUGGGAUGCAGUGGGGUAACUUGUGGAGUUUGUCAGCGUCAAGUGGCCUAGUACAUUCCACAUGGCAGUGUAGGUGUAGCAGAGGCCGCGCCAGAGGGUAGCCUCAUCUGAAUCUGGAAUUUGGUAGCUAAGCAUCAUUAUGUUAUUGAUGAUGAAGUGACCUAUCUCCGCUGGAGGAUUUUGUUCGGAACUAAUAAAGGGAGGAUAUUUGGUAGUUGGUGCCCACACUUUUGGUAGAAAAAAGGUGUGUGCGGCAAAGGAGUCAGGACAUACAAUAUGACAGAUGAUUCACAAACUUUUCGAUAUAUCGUCAUCGAAAAAGAUGCAAUGAGUCCUAUAAAAAAAAGUUCAAUGUUGUAUCGAUACAAUCGUACAACCAAAAAAAAGAAAUAUGUUUUCAUAUGAAUUGGCACCAUGCAACGUCAUGUGAAAUAAGUGCUGGCCGGUUUGUGCCAGCAAUGUCUCACUUUGAAGAAUCCAUUCACUGUUUGACUGUCUGUCCUACUAGCAAAUUACGGCCGGUUUCGAUGGAAGGCAGGGCAGGCUUUGUAACCUGAACCUGUGGUCCGGGAGGCACUCGUAUUCAUCACAUGCCUGUUGGCUGUUGCUUCACGGGUGCUGAUGAUCUACUGUCGUUCUCGUCCGCGUGAUCCAGACAGCCAGUUCAGAGCUGGGUUUGUGGUGCCACUACAGGCCACGUGGUCAGUGCCAGACACGCUACUCUUUAGACAAGAGAAGCCAAGCUGUGACACGAACACGGACAGGUUAGCCUUGCCACUGGCCAGUGGCCACUGCAUUCCAUAAACUCCAUCCAAAGUGCAUAUGCCGAACCCAGCUGUAGCUAACCUGCCUCGGUCUCAGAAUCCAGCCCAGACAGUAGUUGGUUUCGCAUAUACAGUGUCACAGAGGACGACGGUCUCAUGUAAGCAAUCUGAACUUCUGAAAUGAAAUCCGUUCCCGGUGGUGUUGCAGUACUAGGCAACAACAGGCAUCACCACCAUGGCUGUACUGCAAGUGGGCAGUGAGCAGUGAGUGCACCGGGGGUCCGUACCGGAGACGACGACCAAUGAAUAACGCCGGCCGGCGGCCGGCCCUACCGAGUUCAGGAGAAGCGAGCGAGCGAGCGGAGCAGAGGAGAUGCCGGGGCCGGGGGUUCAAGCAACAGCCUGGACUUUCGUCGUAUGGUUCCAAAUGCGUGCAAGACCCAAGUUUCCCAUCUCGUCCUCGGCUGAUAGAGGGAAGCAAAUAAAAGAGCGUGGAAAAUCCGGACCCCAAAUUCAAACUGGCCACGCACAACAUUCAAGAAUGGAACAGUAGUGGUCCUAGUGCGUAGUAGUACUCGUAGUACGCAGCUAGAUCAGCAGCGUUGAGAACGUGCCGGUUGACAGCGCCGCCCAAGAGGUUCGGAACGCCGAGCGUCCGGCCGGCCGGCCACCACGCGUCGCUGUCAAUGUCAAGACGGGGGCCUCAACCACCGGCCAGCCUCGUUGUGGAUCGGCGCUCCAGCGGUCCAGCCCGGGGCGGUCUCUGCAUCCGCCGCCGAGCUGUGCUGUGUGUGCUCCGGUGAUCCGUGCCGUUUUUGGGUUGGUUGCUCCUUGCUCGUGCGCCGUGGCCGGACGACGGGCGACGCUGUGGAAGUGUGGCGUCGGCGGAACUGCGGUAGAAAACCUGCCAAUAGGGCCCAUGGUCGGACGUUUUCGGCCCAUCUGUUCUGAGGAAAAAAUUGGCCCAAUUUCAGUCCUCACGUAACACAAAAGAAAGCUCGCGCGGCCCAGCUGAGCGCUUGUCGCUCGGCAAGGGGAGGCAGCUCACGGGGCGGCCCAGACUGCAUGCGCUGCUCUCGCCGGGUCUACUUGGCCCGCAUACCAUUUCAUUGUUGUUAUCUUUCCUUUUCAUUGGCCCAAGCAGAGUAAUACUUGGCCCGGCUAAGAAGACCGACUGAAGAUCGGCCUAGAGAGAAUAUGAUGAGUUUUGCUUGUUGCAAUUAAGACGAGUGUAUUUCAAUUGUUCGGAACUUCGGAUACCACGUUUCAAUUGGUCGAAUAGUACAUCUAGAUUUGUCUAACAUCUCGCUGUCAUUGUCACGAUAGUGUUUGGAGAUAUAUAGCUCUUGCUCCACCUCGUUGGAGAUAUUGUAAUAUACUAUUUGUCUAACAUCUCGUUGGUUCCUACUUUUAUUGACUCAUUGCCAUGUGGAACCAACGUAAUAUACCACUUCAGCAAAACCGGAUCAGGGGGUUAUUUAUAUCAUUUUUAGUUGUUUAAGAUGUAGAAUACUUAGUUUUAUUGGUGACAUGAUGAAGUACACAGCUGCCAAUAAUUAAAGCUUUUCCCAAUUACAUAUAUUGUAAUUUGUGCAUCAUUUAAAUUUUAAAAUAUUAUGAGAUGGUGUAAAUGCAUAUGUAUCGUCAACUUUUGGUUAUUUUAUAUUUGUAUAUAGUGAAUUUCUACGCACAAACUUCAACAUAGGCGUGUCACACUCACACCUGUAGAUCACGGCUGUUUCAGGUAAAUUCAUUUCAGCGAUUGGAAAGAGAUUCGCUGCCCUUGGGCCUCAUGCACGGCGAGGCUAGAGAAUCGCUCUCGUGGCGGCCGCAGAGAGGCUCCUCAUUAAUCAAUGUUAUCCUCAGGUUUUGUACUCCUAGCUUGCUUACCUUUUUGCCUGACUUUGUUAUGCUACUGUUAUGGCCACAAGUUUUGCAUGUUGUUUGAUCCGUUUGCUAGCGAUCGGUUGGUAAAUAUAUAUACGUUGGUACGAAUUAGCAACUUGAUUGUGGUCCUGCAGAAUGCUGAGAUGCCCGGCCCUAACCUUUCCUCCCCCUUGUUUUCCUAUUGAUUGAUCAGACAAUCAGGCAGCUGAAAUUCGUGGACCUUACGACCGACACGACGCUUAGAUAUGGUCAGUGUGUAGGGUUGGGUCGUUGGGCUGGAGGUUUAGGAGUGUUAUCGUCCCUUUAGCUUUUACUGUUUACAAACUUGUGCAAGAAGAAAAAACAGAAAACAACAUGAGAAAAACUUUGAGUGCAAUUGUUCAUGUUUGAUCCACAACGUGGAGCUGGGGUAUGUGUUGGUAAUGGUGCUGCUGAUAGUGGACAGUUUGAUGAACCCGCUAAAAUUGUGGGUGCUUUUUAUUUAUUUUUCAAUAGUAUGUUCACAUAGAAACUCAUAUAACACACACCGAUAUGUGCAAACUAGACCUAUAACAUAUACCUAAAUAUGUACACACGUGGCUAAGAAGUACCCUAAUACACACAAAAAGUCUAAGAGCAUGACAAAGUGUGCACGUCACUCUAACCAUUGUAGAACAUCUGCCCACAAGGCUGAAUAAAAUGGCAGAGAACUUGGGUCCGAUGAGAUCGGGGAUCAAACUCACGGUGGCGGGACAUUCAUCCAUGUCUCCAGCGCUUAGUUACCACAUUGUGGGGUUGAUACAAUUGACGGUCGGGGUGAUAAAAUGGGCUCGAUUGCACAAUACAGAAUAUGAAAAACCACAAUUGGUUCCAAAACCCCUUCAAUGGUUUUGAAAGAAGCAGUGAAGUCCUUGUGAUACGCUGCCAGGAACCCAACCGACAUAGAUGUUAUUUCCAAAGAAAAAAGAUAAGGCAGUCCAUCCUAUGCCGCUACUUCGCUACACACAGAGCCCACCCAUGUCCAUCGCUCUCCACCGUUGUUGUACCCCACACAUGACUCCAUGUCCAGCUUGGGUGGCCCCAGGAGAAAGGCUAGAGAUGAUGAGGGUCACGCGAGGGAGGGAGGUCUAGCAAUGACUUCAUGGCACCCUCCACGUCAUGUUGUUGGUGAGAGAGACGCAAACUAUGAGAUAUAGAACGAGAGAGAAAAUGAAAGAGAGGAGACUAUACUCAAGUAUCGACUUAACAAUAUUUGGGGAGGUGGUUGUACUUAAGUGAGUUUGAUUUUAAUUUUUGGUCCCAAAGAUAGAGUUUUUUAAAAGACUUGUAAAAGCGCUAGUUUUUAGCUGACAAUGAUACUAUUUACCCUAAAUAAUCGGCAAUGAUAACUUAUAUUUGUUGGUUUUGAAAAAACAUUAUUAUUGGGCAUAUGAUCUAGUUGUUUACAAUUCUUACAAACCUGUCUUCACUUUCACAUUUUAAUCUGAUAGUGGUCAGUCGACAGUGAUAGGCACUAUUAGUUGCUUACCUACCAGUGAUAACUAUUUUCAUAACAAGUGAGUGGAUAGUUCCGAAUGUGAGGCCACGCCCACAGCGUGGUCCUAUUCCCAUGUCGCGGUCCCGCGUUGUCAUAGCCACCGCAACACACAUGUGAGGAAGGAGCAUAUGAACUUGGGGAGGCGGAGACAGAGUGAGCGAGAGAGUGAAGAUAGAGAUUUUAGGUCUAAAAUGUAGGGGUCACUUGCGGUUGAUAAUAAAAUCUAGCGAUUAUACCUAUUAUUGCUGGGUGAUUUUAAAAUCCUACAUUGACUAACUUUUGCUUAUGAGCCGACAGUGCUACACUAUCCCUGUCAAUUUAAAACUGCUCAGCAAUGAUGGUUUGGCAGUGAUUGGUAUGAAUGCGAACAUAAUUUGAAAGAGCCACUAGAGGUGGUAGAGGAGGAAAAGUGGUAGCAAACGAGAGAAGCUUGAAAACAUAGAUUUAGAACCUACACAAGCAAUAACUUGAGAGGUCAGGUGCUGUAUCUUCCGUAAAAUAACUAAGAACAUAGAUUCUAAAACACUUAUUUUGAACCUAUAUGAAAAUAAAAUAAAAUAAACAUCUUCCCCUUUAUUUUUUUAAAAAGAGACGAAUAUACAUCUCUUUUUUUUAAAAAAAAGUAAUGAUGUGGUUGAUUUAUUCACUAUGGUUGAUUCUCUCGGCUUCAUGCAGCUGCACAUAUAUAUAUAAAUUACUCGAUCAUAUAUAGAUUACUCGAUCAUUACAAAUGCAUGUCAGGCAGGGUACGCUCCGGUUCCUGCAAAUGCUGCUUUCACGCACAAAAUAUCUUGGAAAGAUUCUGCAAGGACGCCACCACAAGUCCACAACUAUCUUUUGCACCGCAGUGUUUAAUUUCCUAUUGGUGCCAGAUUAGCAUGGGCCAUUACUUAAACUCACGCCUGAUUCGUUUGCUUAAUCGCCUCAACAACAUCACUCACCUUAAUUACAAUACAUGUACGGGGGAUGCAAAAAUAAUGGGUUGCUCACCUCAUGGCUGACGACGGGAGAGAGGGGCCGGAAAAAACAUUGUAAGCACACAUUAUAAUGCUGCCACGUUUCGCCGUGGCAUCGGCAACGUACGACCUGGCUGCUGGCUAAUCACGCUUCCUUUCGCCCGUAUCCUAUCUCUCAGCAGCUUAUAGAUAGGCUUUGAAUUGUAUGGAGCUACCAUUAUUCUAGUGGCGCAAAAGGUCAUGUCACAUGGUUAGUGGCGUAAUUCAAGGAAAGGUGAAAGAAUUUUAGGGUAAAGUUUGAGUUAUGAGUGCCUCGCAAGGGUAAAAGUUGAAACGCGGUGCGUGCAAAAACCCAUGUUCCGUACGAGUAAAGAUCGAAUCCAAGAGUGUUGACGCCGUUCAAAGGCCUCUCUUGAGUAGGGCUGCUUGCAGUUUUAAACUUUCUGUAGUAGUACGUACUAGCUAAUUUCUCUUCUGUCCUAAUCUCUAUGACUUGGUUUAUGGUCUUCGUCAUACAGUAAUUUAUUUUUAAACCAAACACAAGAACUUCAUGGGCGGCAGUACGUCGUCUCUGUCGUUUUCUGUUGCAUGCAGUAUGAAGAUUAAUUAAUUGAAGCUUCCUUAUCCAUGUGUUUAGCACUUGCAGUUGGAACUAGUACAAAUCAUGGAACUUUCAGGAGAAAAAUAUAACUCUAAUGGUGAAGGGUUAAUGAAACCACCGCAUUUGCUCAUGGCAAAUUCAUCCCAAUGCAAGAUCCAUUGACCUUCAAGCUAGCUAUAGUCUCGGUGACACCGCCAAUUUAAGAUGAGUGAGGCAAUUAAGUUUUGGGCAGAUCCAAGGAGAUAAGUUGGAGGUUGGGAAGCAGGGGCGUGGCUUGUCCGGGAGUAAGGGCGCCUCCACUUGUUUAAUCACCCCCCUGCAUCAUCAUUAACAAAGCAAAGUGGAGAUCAUGGAGCAUGUGAGGGAAUCGAGCACAUGAUGAUGGGGAUUAGUAUCGCCUACUAUACCUCCUGAUCAGUCCCUCCCAAUCUCAUGCAGACAAGUGUGCCCAAAGCCCCAGCUUAGUGCUGAUCCAUCCCUUUAGCUAGCUAAUCUGGCCUGUGAACAGCCUAGAUGCGCGUGUAAAGAACAUGGUUAUACAGCCUCGACACAGCUAAGCUCAGCUAAUGAGUAUCAUUAAGAAAUAUUAGUCUCCUUAACACCCUGCAGAUAGCUAGGCAUGCUUGUUUCUUAUGAGAAAGUUCUAGUAAACCUUAGUAGUAUUAGUUUGCUUGAAAAGGAUGCUUCAAGUAGUGGCUGUGAUAUAAAAGAAUCUGGGAAAAGUACAGACGACUCUUCAAAUCAUUAAUUCAUCAGCAUUUAGCUUGGGAUCGCAUUAGUAUCUGGGAAUAAGUCCGUCAUCAACGUAGAAAAGAAGCUGCUUAAUAGAAACAGCUAAUAUGAAGUCAUCAUCCCAUGAGACCCCAAGUAGAAGUUCUCGUUAUUUGCUCCUCUCCUAUAGUUUUUGGCCUUGUUUACUUUCCAAAAAAUUUUGCAAAAAAUUUCACAUUCUCCGUCACAUCGAAUCUUUAGACGCAUAUAUGGAGUAUUAAAUAUAGAUGAAAAUAAAAACUAAUUGCACAGUUUGGUCGAAAUUGACGAGACGAAUCAUUUGAGCCUAGUUAGUGCAAUUGGAAAAAAUUUGUUAAAUACAAACAAAAAUGCUACAGUGCGUGUUUUGCAAAAUUUUUUGGAACUAAACAAAGCCUUUCUUCACCACUGCAAGAAUCAACCGCAGUUCGCGCAGAGCGCAGCCGGGCCGGCACAGCACGCAACGCCGGGCGGCCGGUUACUUGCACCGGCAGCUUCGUCCUUGUGGGGCCGCCGCCGCCUCCGGCCGGCGGCCUUGCCAGCAUGAGCGUCCAUCCAUGGCGGCUGAUUCCCUCCCGCAUCCUCGCGAGCUGACGCGUCAACCGGAAACGGGGGGAGGGGCCGGAGCGGUUAGCCGGAUGGGAUAAACAUUACCGGAAACGCACAAGGCACAGGUCAACACAGGCAAAAGACGGGGCCGAGAGAACUUGCCGGUAAUGGAAGGAGGACGAGUACUUGGCCUGCGUACGUACAUGGCUACAUGCAUGCAUCUACUACGCUGUGUCAUGCCCAGACCAGAUGUUCUGAUCGAGCAGAGCAGUUUCAGGGUAGCUGCUAGCUUAUCCAGGCAUGUGCUUUGCUGCAUGCGUUUCGUUUCACCGGACACCGGCUGUCGUGAGUGAGUUGGAUUCGAACACAUCCAAGAUCUGGUCCAGUUACAUACUUGCACCGUGGCAGGCAUGGCUCGGCCGGCCGGCUUUACAGUUCAGAGAAAUGGAGGGUUGUAUCAGCUGCAGCCGUAAGUAGACAAGCCAGAUCGGGGAUAGACGGUUGCCGAGUCGGUAAGCAAUCCAUUCCUGGUAGUAAAUCGUACUAGUACAAACGGAUAAACUUGUGGAUUUCUCUUCUAUCCAACAAAAAGCUGCACCGAUCGGAACAAAUUGUUCGGAUCGAAGUGCAGGUGCAAAUGUGGGGGAAAAAAAGGUGAGACUUUUUCUUUUUGAUGAAAAAAAUAAAAUACUGGAAUUUUCACUGGCGCACACUGCACAUAGUGCCCAGCUCUACCCAAAUCCCGAAAUGUUCUCUCGCUCCAAGAACACCCGCCGUUGACAGCAGGUCAGCAGAGCAGCCAGUAGACAGCGGGAUGCCUCUGCGCGCAGACCCCUCCAUGGCCCACUCGUCAGCCGCUCGUGGCCUCCUCCGCUGCGGCCCCCGAGCACCGGAGGACUGACAACUAAUCAGCCUGUGAACAGUGGCUCGUUUGGAAUCCCGGAGCACGAAAAGCUCAGCAGAGAUGGCGCUGCGGGCCAGCACCAGCAGGGAGUUUUUCGGUUUCCUGCCCGGAUCGGCGGGCCGCGGCCGCUGGGUGGCGACACGUCCGGGGGGCGCGGGGCGUGUGGUCCCUGGCGCCCCAGCCUCGCCCCGGGCGACGCGUGGGGGUCCUGCUUGUGCCGUGCCGUGCGUCCCGCCCACUGGCGCCCCAGCCUUGCCCGUUGGCGUCCCCGGCGCAGCGCAGUGCAGCCCAUGUGCCUACGCCCCCUGUCUCCCGGGCUAGCUGCUACGGAGUACUACUCCCGUAGUGCCCCCGCUCCCGGUGCUACGCGGGGCUGGUUGGCACCUUUGCUUGCGCGGCUGCGCCACCUAGCGGUCUGUAGCCUUAUCCACUGUUCCUUUUUUCCCCCCUCGCCUGAAAGAGUUCUUCCCCCCAUCCUUGCUGACUCGCCGAGUUAUCUCCUAAUCUAUCUUGCUGGAUCAGUUGUGUGCGUCCUGAUGGAUAGUAUGCUUUAAUCCUUUGAUGGCAUGCCGGCCGCAUGGCAUCGGCAUCGGCAUCGCCAGAUCGAUGUCGUCAUCUGCGCUGGUAAGAAUAAGAUGCAUCACGUGCGGUGUGUGACUGGCCAUGUCCUCCAACGGUGAAACAUGUAUGAGCUACAUCUUUUGUUUUGAGGAAUUUGAAAUAUUUUGACUUGAAUGAGUUACAAUUUGAAAUGGACGGGGUGGCGAGGGGUCCAGUUCUGAAUACCGAGCAAAAAAUGGUGGCUGGGGCGAGCGCAGCUUGUGCCACUGUAAGCCCCUUAAUGUAACCAUGAUGUACUUCAAUUUUGCUAUGAUUAAUGAAAGCCGAUAACGGAUCUUUAGAAAAAAAGAAAUGUUAGAUCCAUUACAGAUGAUAUUUUGACUUAGAACAAAUCAGAAAACACUUAUAUUUUAAAAUGGAUGGAGUAUAAUUUUUUUGGGAGCUAUUAUAUUGUAAUUCCAUGCCAUCAUUGUCCUUGCGUAGACAAGCAAACCACCCACAUUUUUUGGUACACUAUUUUAGGCUGAUGGCGGUGCUGUUUACCCUCUGCUUUUACAUAACUUUGAAAACACUAAGCUAAUGGGAUAGCUAGGUUAAAUGGUCGACUGGUUCACCACGAAACAACACGUACGCUAUACCUCUCUAUAAAGACUACUCUGAGAGAGAGAGAAUCUCCUGCCCGAUCUUUUCAAAGAAAGUGAUAGCCCUUUCCAGGAGCAAGUGCCACCUUGUCGACCACUCUUGUGUCUACUACAUAGAAGGUCGUGCGCUCCCGAGUAAUCUCCAAAUUAAGCACUGGCAUAUAUUCGUGCACCCGGCCCCUACUCCAUGCAAGCUUUCAGUGGGGCUGAAUGAAAGACAGCAAAAAACAAAAGGGGCAUCAACAUCAGAAAAUAUAAAGGCCCACUUUGGAACAGAAGAAAAAUAGAGGAAUUAUGAAGGAUUGAAAUCCUAUAGAAACAUUCCCUUUGAAGUAAAUUUGUAGUCCCUUCAUCCCAAAUUGUAAGUCAUUCUAAGAAUUUUAGAGAGUCAAACUUUUCUAAGUUUGACCAACUUUAUAUGAUAAAAUAAUUAUUAUUAUGAUACCAAAUAAGUAUCAUUAAAUUCUUUCUUAAUUAUAUUUUCAUAGUAUACUCACUUUUUAAGUUACAAUUCUUAAUAUUUCUCUCUAUAAUUUUGGUCAAACGUAAAAAUGCUUUGACUCUCCAAGAUUCUUAGAAUGACUUACAAUUUGGGAUGAAGGGAGUAAUAUAUAAAAGUAUUGACAUCUAUACUAACAAAUACUCCCACAGUCUAAAAAAGAACAAAAUUGUAGCUUAGUACCACCAAGUCAAAGUAUCUUAAGUAAACCAAUUGUAUAUAUAAAUUAUUAUUGAUAAGGUAUUAUAAUAUAUAAUAGAUAUCAUGAGAUUUUUUAUGAGAUAUAUUUUCAUAAUAUACUUAUUUGGUGCCGUAUAUAUUAUAUCUAGACAAACUUUAGGUACGUUUGUUUUUAAGACAGAGGUAGUAAGUAUUAUUGAUUAAUUGUAGAAUAUUUUCAUAUAAAUCUAUUUGGAGACAUAAGUGUGGACACUUUUUUAAUAUAAAUUCAGUUAAACUUUUUUUUUACUUGGUUCAAAUACAGAAUUGCACUUCUUUAGUUGAGGACAGAUGCACUAGUCCUUCAGUAGUCCUGCAGUUGACACACGGUCCCCCUUUGGUGUACACGAGUAAGCGCAUGACACAGUGGUACUCCCUACCCUGUUCAUCAUCAGCAGCCAUAUAGGAGUAUAUAUGCAUCUUUCCCCGAAAGAAAAACAAAGUUGGAGCAGGUGGUUUACAUCCAUAGCCGGUCUGCCUCAGAAAGCACCCCUACCCGGCCGGCCGGCCGGCCGGCGAACCCCACCGCCACCGGCGUUGCGCGCCUGCUUUGCUACCCCCUAUAUAUUACUCCUAGGUCUCUCUCUCGAGACACGCACCCCUGCUUACUUAACACCCCAGCGCUGGUGCCUUGCCCUGUGGUCCUCGCUCCGUCCUUAAUCCACUUCUCCUGCUGCCUGCCCAGCACCACACCACACCAUCCCGUCUCCUCUCCCCGGCCAGCCUCCCUCUCUCUUUCUCUGUCCUCAGUCCUCCUCUCACGCUUGACAAGGAGAGAGAAAGGUGUAGCAGCAGCUAGCUGAUCCGGCCGGGAGCGCAGGCAAAGGAUGGAGGAAUACGACGGGCUCUUUCCUUCCGCCUACGUGGACUCCUCCUCAUCCCUCCUGGUGCCCAACGGUGCGUACUCGUACAUUCGAAUUCUCUUUCUCUCAGCUGCAGCUGUAGGCUCUGUAGCUACUUCUUCAUCUCUGCAAAUGCAACUGUAGCUCAUCAUCAGUACCAGCUAGCCUUGCACCUGCUGCAUGCAUGCAUGGCAAUUGAUGUAUUCUACUGUGCGAUGUGCAGGCACGGCGCAGGGGGAGAGGCCGAGAGCGCGGCGCAGGAGGCGUCGAGCACCGAGGUGCGGCGGCGGCGGCGACCUGGACGGGGGAGGGGACCCCAAGAAGCGGCGGCUGAGCGACGAGCAGGUAGAGAUGCUGGAACUGAGCUUCCGGGAGGAGCGGAAGCUGGAGACCGGCCGGAAGGUGCACCUGGCCGCCGAGCUCGGCCUCGACCCCAAGCAGGUCGCCGUCUGGUUCCAGAACCGCCGCGCCCGCCACAAGAGCAAGCUGCUCGAGGAGGAGUUCGCCAAGCUCAAGCAGGCACACGACGCCGCCAUCCUCCACAAAUGCCACCUUGAGAACGAGGUACAUACCUGCCCCCACCACACAUGCAUGUCCUCCUCCUAACUCUUUUUAAUUGUCUGAGCUCGUAUAUCCUCUCGUCUGUUCAUGUCCAUGGAUUGACGGUGGCGUUGCAGUAUACACUGAGCAUUUCGUGGGUGGGUACAUAUGCAUGGCUGGCAGGUGAUGAGGCUGAAGGAGAGGCUGGUGCUCGCCGAGGAGGAGCUGACGCGUUUCAGAUCCGCGGGGAGCCACGCCGUCUCCGGUGACGGCGGAGACAUCAUGGGCCGUGCCGUCUGCAGCGGGAGCCCGAGCUCAUCGUUCUCGACAGGCACCUGCCACCAGCCGGGCGUCGACGUCGGCGGCGGCGAUCACCUGGGGGACGACGACCAGCUGCUCUACGUUCCUGACUAUGCCUACGCUGACAACAGCGUGGUCGAGUGGUUUAGCCUGUAUGGACUGAUGUAAGCGAAGUGAUCAUCAGUGAUCGAUGGUAUGCCAUCGAUCGGCAGAUUCAUUCUAGCAGCUAGCUACUCAUCGUAGUGUGUCAUUGCUGUGCUGAAUUGCUGAUUUCUAAGUGCGUGUGCUUAAUCAUAUGUACAUAAAUCAAGUUGUUAAUUAGUGGCAAAAUAUAGCCAGCUACCAGCAACUAGUACUUGAAUUCAGAUGUCUGUUACUAUACUGCGUGCUACCCACAUUGGAAUCUUUUUUUUUCCCCCUUCACUACUAUAUAUAGUCUUUCGUGAGCUGAUGAGCAAGUACUAUGCAUGUGCUAGCUGACAAUCACAUCCUUGCUACGUGGGAAGGUAACAUUUGAACAAAAAAAUAUAUAUUCAAAUAGUAUACAUACAAUUUCGAGGUUCAUGUCGAACGGAAUUCAUACAGUCUAGGGUCAAGUGGAUGUAAAAAGUUUUGCUAUAUCAAACCUUUUCACCUUUUUAUUCUUCAUAAAUACUUUCUCUGUUCCAAAUUGCAAAUCAUUUUGUUUUUUUCUAGAUGUAUAGCUUACUGAGAUUAUUUUGGUGUAAUUGCUAGGUAGAAUUGGUUUAGCUAAAAAUUUAGGAGUGGAGAAACAAUAUUUCACAUGAUUCUUGCAACGCAUUUAAUCUAGGUGUGGAACUAAACAAUCCAUUUUUUCACUCGGAUUAAAAAUCCGAAGAUAUAUAUAUAAACCAUUCAUUAAUGUGCUCAUCUGGAAAUCACUAUUCUACUUAUAUGAUGUACAGUUACUUUUACUGCUUUUAGUUUGAUCCCCUACAAUUUCAAAGUCCACUUGACCAAUUGACCCCAAUGCCCCUCCAUCCCGACAUAUGUGCAUAUCUAUCUAUGUACAUGGACAUAUGUGAUUGCACUAUAAGUUCUCAGAAAAGUUUGUGUCAUAUGCCUUCCACUAAAUAAGCAAGAAAGAAGAGAUGUCAAUAAUAUAAGAAUUAAGAAAUUGCAUCAUCGUUAGCACGUACUCCUGUUGGCUACCUCGUGAUGAAAUUACAAAUGUGCCUGUGACAGUCCACGCAGAUGUGUUUGUUUUAUUAAUUGUGUGCGCUGAUUAAUGAAUGAGGUCAUACUUCUCACAGAAAUUAUACCAAAGCUGUCGGUGCGGGCGAGGGAGUAUGAACUUGGCUUCAGAACCAUUUUCAUAAUAUUAUAUUUUACCUUUUGAAAUUUUCUCUCAUUUCUAUGAUGGCAAGGUACAAUUCACAUUGACUCUAAAGGUCAAAGCCCAAUUUUAGGGGAAAGACUCUUUCUCCACUGGACAUAGUACCAAUCUAUGUGAAAAAAGAUAUGCAAAUAGAAAAUUUCCCCAUCUUUAUUUGUUUCACCGUGUGUUCCUAGACUUUUCUCCUAUUUUUAUCUGGAUCCAUAAACAAAGUGAAAUCUGUGUCCUUCAACUUUUCAGGUAGUUCGUUCAAAGUUUCACUCUAGGUCAUAGUGAUGUAGAGUGAACUUGGAAUGAACCAAUUGAAAAAUUGAAGUACCCAAAAUUGCCACUUCGACAGUUCGUGGACCUGGAUGAGAAUGAAAAGUUAAGAACCCAAGGAACAUUUCACCCUUUAUUUAUCACUAAUAUAUAAGGAUGACAACUUCCUGUAUUAAAAAACAAAUAAGAAUAUUGAUGUCAUCUUGUUCAUUCUGAGGCCUUAUUAUAAUGUGCAUAUAACUCUAAUCCAGCAAGGACUAUUGAACAGGUGUGUAAAAACAAAAACCUUGCAACCACUACAAUACAAUUGGAUAAAAAAAUAUUUUACCCAUUGCAUUAGAUUUGUUUUUAUUUUUUCAAAAAUAGCAACAAAGAGCAUAUUUACUAACACUAGUACAGAAAACUUAAUGGUGAUGGGCAUGUUGGAUUAAUGGAGUCAGGUCUUGCAACCAUCUCCAAUUAAAGGUCAUGGUUCAUCUGUGAUUAACAGAGGCAGUUGCUUUUUCCCGCCUCCAUAAAUCAAAAUAUAAUAAUAAUAAUAAUAAUAAUAAUAAUAAUAAUAAUAAUAAUAAUAAUAAUAAUAAUAAUAAUAAUAAUAAUAAUAAUAAUAAUAAUAAUAAUAAUAAUAAUAAUAAUAAUAAUAAUAAUAAUAAUAAUAAUAAUAAUAAUAAUAAUAAUAAUAAUAAAUGAGACCAAUGCCAGCCCAUAUGAGCCAGAUCUCGCUGCCGUCAUCCUGUAUCCGCCGACGUCGAGCACCUGGAGGAGCGUAGGAGCACCGUUGGGGAAGAGGAGGGGUCCGGAUCCGCCAUCAAGGAGGAGCAGGGGGCGGAUCCGCUGCUGAGGAGAAGAAGGAGGGCGGAUCCAUCUAGGGGGUCGUCUCCACUGCAGCUCGUUAGAUCUGCCGUCGAGGACCUCCUCCUAGCCAGAUUUGCCGCUGGUGACCUCUUCCUUGCCGGAUCCACCAUGGAGGACCUCCUCCUUGAUGAAUCUACUUCCGCGGACCUCCACCUCAUCGGAUGGAGCCCUCAUCAAGGGCUGAGCAUUGUUGUGGCCUCGUGCUGCUGCUGCUGCUGCUGCUGCUGCUACUACUACUACUACUAUUAUUAUUUAGAAAGGCUCUUAGAGAUGCUCUUAAAAGAAAUCGUUUACUAGUGUAAGAGUGGUCGUAUUUUUUUCUUAUUCAAGGAAAAAGACGAUGAUCAAUGAAACUUGAUGACUAGCUUCCACAUACAUAAAUAUAUAUAUGUGAUGGCAUAUAUUUUAAAAUAUGAGAAAAUUUAUAUGGAAAUAGUUCUAUGUGUUUAGAAAAUUAUAAACCUUUUGAACUUAAAACUGGGCGAAAUAGAUAUGUGUUUCAUUGCGCUUCUAUCUUAUAUGUUUCUUGCAGAUCGACUUCUAUAUUUCCGUUGUGAUAAUAAUGAAAAUGGGGUCGUGCUCCAACACCGGUAACCGCAGAAAAAAGCUACACGAUACUGACGCAAUGCAAUAGAUGAAGCAAAUCCAGUAUUCCACCAAACCCCGUCACAACUCACAAAUCAAAGGCCCGGAAAAGAUACGCUGGCGACAACGAUCCAUCCGACCAGGAAUGAACCGCCACGAUUACGAAAUAUGCCACCUUUUCCACAAGGUGACAUGUCACUCAUCCACCCAACUGACCUGGAAUCGACGUCACCCAGCGCGCGCGCAAAGCUCAAGAUCGCCGCCCCGGCCGGCCGUGCGCCGUCGUCACAUCACAGCGUAUCCUUGUCGUCGUCGUCGUCGUCUUGGGUGGGCCAGUGUUAAUCCAGCGCCAUCAUUCAUCUUUUCGUGGGCGUAAUUAAAUCUGUCCGUCGUCCCAUACACACAACACACUCUCGCCAUCAAACGGCCGGCCGGGUCCAAAUAUUCAGUCGGAGCAGCCCCCGCCGGCCGGAUAGAGACGCGCUGCAGGUCGUCGCGACCUUCGCGAAACUUGGAUCGAUCAGUAUCGAGAAAGAAGGCAUCUAUUCCCAGUGCGAUCGAUAUGCCGAUAUGCAUGGGUAGCGUGCAACUCGUCGCGGUCGCGGUGCAGUCAAAAGUCGAGUCGAGUCCGAUCCCCACGGGGGACGGCGAUGAAACCCUCGAUCGGCGGCGGCCACGUACGCCGAACCUGAGAUGAGGCCGCAGCAGCGCCAUUUUGGGCUUGGCGCCGCGCCCAGCGAUCGACACCCGCGCGAGCGCGCGGGUCCAAAACCAGCGAACGCAUGCACCGAACCGGCUGACGAGGACGUCCGCGUCCACCCGCGCAGGUGGAGCCCAUUCUCCCCUCGAUCAUCAGCGGAUAAGGGCACAAGGCCACGAUGGACGGACGCGACGGGCGACACAAAGCGGCCGGCCGGGCAGGGCAGGCACCAGGACCAGGCGGCAAGGCCCUGUGGCGUGCGCGUGCAGGUGCAGCGAGCGACGUACGCAUGGGCGAGCGGAAAGCCAGAAAGCCUGGGCUUGGCGCGCGGCUUUGCGCGUGCACGGGCCGCACCGGAUGCAUGCCAGCGGCGACCUAGGCGCCUAUAGUACCAUCGGACGCAGCGCCCACCGGUGGAGGGCUAUGAGCUAGGACGCCGGGGGAGCCAGCUGUCGACCCGCCACUGCGCGUCGUCCGUCCUCCGGCCGCGGCCUCACUCGUGUCGAUCGCGCGCAGGCACCCUACGCUAGGAUGAAUGAUGGCACUCGCGACGGACGGACGACGACGUAUCGGCCGACCGGUCGGGGUCGGGGGCCGCGCGCGAGUGCGGGCCGCCGGACGGCCGCAUGUGCAGGGCAGAGGGCUAGGGGACGAAAAGGCGGCUCCGUCCAUCGGCCUCCAGCCCUCCACCGGCGGCGGCUGGGACUGUUCCCUGGGGACCCCUACGCUCUGCGACCUGCCGUGAUCAGAUCAGCCACCAGCGUCCAGCAGAUGAGCUGUAGUACGUGACGCCUGGACGCUCAGGUGCUGAAGUGGGCACCGCCGCCGGACCUGACCUUUCGAACCCGCCGUCCCAGGACCUGGAGCAGGAUAGCCUUAUCCGAACAGUAUGUGCGCGCGCGGUGUCGACGGCCCGCCGGCUGCGCGCCCCACCACGGGGAGACUCGGAGCCCUCCUCUGCUGCCGAUGAUACAGGAGAUGCCCUAUGACUUGUCAAGAAAUAGCGCACGCAUGCUUGCAUGCACUGUCGCAUGCACCGCGCGCUGCGUCCGCCUAGCUAGGUAGACGCCACACGGCCAGUGUAGCGAGCGGCGGCGAGACUCGUCUCUAUCAACAGCAAACAGACAGAGCACAUGCAUGGCGAUGGCGCCGCGCGCGAUCCUGGGACGUCGGUUUCCCUCUGCUAUUGCCUAGGAGUAGCUCCUUGCGUGCACUCUCUGUCCAUCCCCGAGCGUGAGCGUCCGAUCGGCUCCGUCGGCGCUGAGGACUGGUUGGUGCGAAGCGAUCGAUGGCGUGGUCGUGAGUCGUGACACGACAAGGAGAUGGUCGCCCAAGUGUAAGGCUCGGCCGUGCGGGCCGCGGGCUAGCUCGAGGGUCGAGCCUACGCCGCGCUACAAUGCCCUCCGGGGUCCGGCCGGCAUAUUCGUCCAUGGAUCUUGGAGGGGGUCUUGGGACUUGUUUAGUUCAUCCCGAAAAUCAAAAUUUUUUCAAGAUUCUUCGUUACAUUAAAUUUUACGGUAUAUGCAUGAAGUACUAAUAAAUAUAGAUAAAAAUAAAAACUAAUUACACAGUUUACCUGUAAAUCGUGAGAUGAAUCUUUUAAACCUAGUUACUCCCUGAUUGGACAAUGUUUGUCAAAUACUCCCUCCGUCCACGAAAGAGCCAAUUUCUAAAGUUGUCCUAAGUCAAACUUUUUAAACUUUGACCAAAUUUCUAGAAAAAAUGCUAAGAUCUAUAGUAUCAAAUUAGUAUCAUUAGAUUCAUCAUAGAAUAUAUUUUGAUAUAAUGUGCAUUUUAUAUUAUCGAUGUUGUUAUUCUUUUCUAUAAAGUUAGUCAAACUUUAAAAAGUUUGACUGGCACGGAUCCUAGAAAUUAAUUCUUUCGUGGACGGAGGGAGUAAAGACGAAAGUGCUACAGUUCCGAAAACCAAAAUAUUUUCGUAACUAAACAAGGCCUUGAUGAUGGGGCAGCCGGAAUUGUUGGACGUCCACACGAAGCCUACCGGCCUGUAGCAUCUUGAGACCACAUAUACGUUCUGACUCAUGCCAAUUGCCAACAUGUGGCAUGCAGUACCACGCCACUAAAUGUCACUUGCAGGGAACGGAGAUGAAUAGUCGUGCCCCGGCUCGCUUCAGAAAUUUUUUGCAGGGAUUAUUGGAUCUUUGGGCCCUAGCGAAGUCGUGAUGGGAACGCCCCAUCACUCGUGCAAACUACGUGAAACAGAAUGGCUUCUUCCAUGCAAAUUUCUGGACCAAUGGAAUGAAACAAGUAUCAUCCUACUUUCUCGGGAAAAAAGACAUUCUUUCCUAGUAACAUAGGUGAUGUAUAUGUAUAUACUACACUUACUUUUGAUGAACACCUGCAUGUCAUUUGUUUAUUUAGCCUAAAAUUAAUAAAAGUAAAAAGGGCCGCGGGAAGGGUCAGCCGAAAAUUUGGUUUGUGCUAAUGGAGCUACUUGUCCAUAUAUCUAUGGGCUGCCAAUAGGUCUUUAGAAGUCAAAUGGGCCGAUUUGUCCCCAUGCACAGAAGUCCAAUGGGGUCAGAUUUAUCGAGUGUUUCUCUACGUCUUCUAGGUUUCUUUGGCCCAGAAGUAUAUAUAUAUAUAUAUAUAUAUAUAUAUAUAUAUAUAUAUAUAUAUAUAUAUAUAUAUAUAUAUAUAUAUAUAUAUAUAUAUAUAUAUAUAUAUAUAUAUAUAUAUAUAUAUAUAUAUAUAUAUAUAUAUAUAUAUAUAUAUAUAUAUAUAUAUAUGAGCAGAAUUCAGUAUCGUUGAGCAGAUUUCAGUAUCGUUCAGUAUCUGUGUUUCAGUAUUGUUCAGUAUUUCGUGGUCCUGAGUGUAGUAUUAGAUGAUACUGAACGCGUUUCAGUACUGCUCAGUAUUUUUUCUACUCGGAUUUGGCUUGCGGUGUAGAAUAAUAGUCUACACCUAGAGUGUAGAAUAGCGCUGCCAUAUAUAUAUAUAUAUAUAUAUAUAUAUAUAUAUAUAUAUAUAUAUAUAUAUAUAUAUAUAUAUAUAUAUAUAAGCUUCUUUGGUCUAAAAAAUGAACAAAAAAUAAAAUAAAAUUAAACCCUUUUUAAAUUUAAUCUACACUAAAAUCCUCUAGUACUUAAAAAACAAAGAAGUAAAAAAAUAAAAUGACUGAAAACAGACUUUUGAACCGGCUAGAGAAAUAAUUAAUAUACGUACUCCUAUAUCUAUGGUAGUAGUUGUCAGCUAAUGUCGUCAGGUUACGAAAAUGGCCCAAUAGAUAUGCAAACAAGCAUAUAUAGGAGAGACCAUGUAUAUCCUUCUCAACAAUGCACAUUUUGACAUGCUAUUGGCACAACAUAACCAAGGUUCGUAUGAUAGACCAUAUGUAUGCAUAAGUCUAUGCCUUGUUUAGAUGUGAAAUUUUUUUGGAUUUCGCUACUGUAGCACUUUCGUUUGUUUGUGGCAAAUAUUGUCCAAUCAUAGACUAACUCGGGUCAAAAGAUUUAUCUCGCGAUUUACAGACAAACUGUGUAAUUAGUUUUUGUUUUUGUCUACAUUUAAUGCUUUAUGCAUGUGUCGCAAGAUUCGAUAUGAUAGGGAAUCUUGAAAACUUUUUGGUUUUCGGGGUGAACUAAACAAGGCCAUAUGUCUUUUUUUCCUUCACACACUUUGCCUUGCCACGUCGUCACAAAUAGUCACAUAUAUUUAUGAGAUACCAUAUUUGUUUGCCAAAUUGUUGAGCCUUGAUUCUCAAACAUUCAUUCAAUAAAAGGAUAACCCAAAUAUUUAUGUAAGAUCAUUAAAUUCUUGCUCAACACUCAAUUGACUUAUUAGACAUUUAAUCAUACAGUCAUUCAAUUCAUAAAAAAACACUAAAGAGAUAGAUGCACUUUUAGGCAUCUCCUACUCUCCUACAACUAAAAAGAACAAAAAGAAGAUAAUUUUUUCGUGCAACUUUUGUUUGGUGUAACCUUAACCUCUUCUUGCGACCCCGCAUGCAGCUCUAAAAGGAACAAAAAAAUGCGUACAAACGAAAAAGGAAUCCGACACCACGGCAUGCGUAGAUCAGUUCAGCUUCAAAAGGAAACCAAAAUAAUGUGUACGCACCAGACAUGCGCCCGCGAUGCCUCCUGUUGUUUCCUAAAAAAACCUAGGAUACAUGCAAACCCUCCUAGCAAAUCACCGUCUCCUUUCCAAAUAAAACCGGCUCAGAAUCUUUUUCAUUUGGAAGCAAACAAACACCGCUAUUCCAUGAAGAAGAAGAAGAAGAAGAAGAAGGAGAAGAAGAAGAAGAGGAAGUCUGGUCUCAUGCGAUCGCUAUUAGCGCCUCCCACGACCCAGCACGCGUGAAAAAAAAGUGCCUUUGCUAUGACUGCUCGACAGCGAUCUCCUCCAAGCCGCCACUACCGCCACCAAGUCUGAUCCCUGCGAUCCGCUACCCCAAUCCUCCGACACCCUAUGGCAACUCGACGACAUCGAUCUGCUACUCCAGGCCAACGACGCUGUUGACAGGGUCAGCAUUCAUCGACCCUCGCCUCCCUCGCGAUUUGCAUCCCGGCCAAACAACGUCUGUCUCCCUCAUGAUCUGCACAUUGGUCAAACUGUAUACAUGACACGGCAAGUCAUGCUAAAAAUUGCCAAAAUCCUAUCUAUUGUGAUAGCAGUUAUAAUGCACGAUUAAAUCUUUAUAUGAACUAAUAAUAGAACCAUGCAUUUGGCUCUAAAAAUAGAAAAUAGUGUUAAUCAUGAUUUACUUUGAAAAUAAGAUGGGUUUUGUUUCAAGAAAAAAAUAAAUUUUAGCAUUGUACUCCUUUUGAAGUGUCCAUUUGAAACAAAUUGAGUGAUACCAAUAAUGAGAAGACGAUUUGAAGUACCCCACUAUAGUAUAAUGCAACUAUGCAACGGAAUGCAUAUUUUCAUUGUUACAGCAUUGUCAAACUGCUAGCCUAUUUACUUGCACUUCAUUGAGAAGUUUUCGAUAUGUUUUGAUCAGCUGCUUUCCAAUUAGAUCACUAUCAACAGUGACUUGUUCAGAGUCUGACUUCACUAUGUAAUUAGAGAUGUAGUAGUCCAUCAGAGGCCUGUAUGAGCUGUGGCAGGAAUCAUUAAUGCCAAUUAUGUGCACUUCUAUGUUGGCCCGCAUGAGAUGUGGCAAGAAUCAUUAGCGCCAAUUCUGUGCAGUUCCAUAUGGUCAAAUUUACUUAUAUAUGAUUUCACUACGGCCAUCUCAUAUCUAACAGGAUUGUUGAUGCAUUAUCUACAAUAUGACCAACAGCAACAAGAAGUCACCUCUUAAAUUAAAAAAUUACUACAAAAACCUUCAUUCUAUCAUUCAAAAGAAUACAAUAGACGCUUAUAUUGUAUUGGGACAACACACUGGAAAACACCGCUACGGGAUAACCAAACUUUUAUAAUAAACACAUAGAAAGGUCUAUAAAGUAGAGUUUGUGAGCCUAGGACGUCGUUCAUAAAACUUUGUGGUUUGCAUUUAAUGUUAUUUUAAUGUUGAUAUUAAAAUUUUAUUGUGCGAUCUAUGUAUUUUUAGUAUAAAUUGUUAGUUAUCCCGUAGCAACGCACGGUGAAAGGUCCUUGUUUGGUUUUGGUAAUUGAGUGACAACUUAGGUGGACUAAUAGUGUUUAUGUGAGAUACACAGGAGAUUAGUCCACAGGUGAUUAUGUGAUGAUGGAGGAGCUCAUUGCAUAUGAGACAUGACAUGGAGUCUUGUGACCAAGGUGGAGAAGAUCAUGAUGAGGCUUGGCUUGAUGGACUGGUUGCAAGAGUGAAGGGCAAGUUGGAGGCUUUGAAGCGAGGGACCGUGUGUGACGGUGAAGCUUGAGCAACACUUGGCGCCGAUGGACCAAGGCAACGGUGAAGAGCAAGUGAGGUCAAGAUCGAUGAACCAAUACGGUCACGUGAUGAUAUGAAGUGAAUCAUAUCAUUUGGUGAUUGGUUGGUGCAUGUGUGGCAUCAACAUUGGAGAGAUGGAAUGGAAAGUGCAAGGCAAAGGUAUAACCUAGGGCUUUUCCAUUUCACCGGUCAUAGGUGUGUAGAGAAGUUUAUGACCGGAUUUAGGAUAGAUGGCCGUACUAUCAAGAGGGGCAAACUUGUUUGCAUAUCGGUCAUCUAGUGCCACUUGAGCGAUCUAACUUUGCAUACGUGUUAGGAUUGAGUGGCGUGGCAAGUUGAGAGGCUAACCCCUUAGGGAAAAAUGAUUGUGAAAAUGCUAACACACUUGCACAUGGUGGUGUACACUUGUUGGUGUUGGCACACUUUACAAAGGAGGUGGUGUUCCUAGGGUUGAGAGAGGUGUGGGUUUCUGCGCUUUUGAGAAAAUGAAGUGCAUAUUUUCUAUUGCGCCGGAGGCACUGGACGCUGGCCUUUAGCGUCCGGUGUGCUGUCGGGUGCAGCAGAGUGCACCGAACGCACCGGAGAGAGUCCGGUGCUCAGCGUCCGGUGUGCGGGCGGUUUGGCGACCCUCUCUGCGCAUGAGUCCGGUGAGCACCGGACGCUCAGGGUGCGUCCGGUGGCUUGCGUCCGGUGACCCUGCGUGUUUGCGGAGCUCUCUGCGCACAGGUCCGGUGUGCACCGGACGCGUCCGGUGUGGACUAGUUGAGCGUCCGGUGGUGCCGUGUCAGGCGCGCGUGCGCAGUAGCCGUUGGCGGCAACGGUCGUGUUCAAACGGCUAGUGACACGUGGCUGACGCCUGAGCACCGGACGCUGGGGGUUGAGCGUCCGGUGGCUCCCUGUGAGCGUCCGGUGCCCACGUGUUUUGCCCAGUGAAGGGGCAACGACUAGUUUAGCCCUUGGGGCUAUAAAUAGAAGUGGUGGCCGGCCUUGGCCCGUGCUGAGCACCCUUGGGACUUAGUGUCCAUGCUUGGGGAGUGCUAGUGAAGCCUCUAACUCACAUAUGCUUGAUAGUGAUCAUCCGAUUGUGUGAGUGAGCGAUUCUAGUGCGUUGCGUUGAGAGAUUGCAUCGAGUGGCACUAGGUGUUCGUGUUGCAAGCCGGUGGUGCUUGUUACUCUUGGAGGUUGCCACCUCCUAGACGGCUUGGUGGCUUGUGACUCCGUCGAAGCACGCAAGGAGAUUGUGCGGUGCUCCGGAGAAGAGAUUGUGAGGGGUACGGUGCUCACCCCGCGGGGAUCGCGAAGAGCAACUCUAGUUGAGCGAGACGUGAAGAGCGACAAGUGGUCCGGCCGGGUCAAGUGCUAGAGCUUGUGGUAAGCACUCCACAUGGGAGAGUGUGACUUGCGGGUCACCACUAGCAAGAGGACCGGCGGCAACCUUGGAGCUUGUCUCAACGGGGACGUAGCUUGGUGGCAACCAAGUGAACCUCGGGAGAAAAUCAUUGUGUCAACUUUGUUCUUCCUGUUGGUUUGAAAGUCCCUAACACAAGCUUGUAUUUACUUUCAUAUAUUUGUGCUUGUGUAGUUGCUCUUGUAAUUAGUUAGCUUGUGUAGCUUGCUAGUUACCUUCUUGCUUGUGUAGCUAGAAGUAGUUCCCUUGCGUGACUAAUUUGGUUUGUGUAACCUUGUUAGUUACAUUGCUUAGUUUGUGUAGCUAAGUAAGUUGCGCUCUCUAAUUUGGCAUUAGUUGCCUUGUUAUUGAGCUUGCUAGUGAGCUUAGGCUUUGUGCGCUUUGCCUCACUAGUUUGUGUAGGAGCUUCCCCGGUUUGCAAAGUACUAGUUGCAUAGGUUUGUGUGACCUUGCUCCUAGAAUUGUUUAGGAGAGCUCUUGCUAAGGUAGCACCUUGCUUGCUUGUUUAGGAUUUCUUCAAGGUGCUAGAGAACUUAGAUAGAGGGGUGUAGUCUUGGCUAGACCGAUAGUUUUAAUUCCGCAUUUGUUUCGGUUAGCCGGCGUAAUAAAUUUUAGAAAGGACUAUUCACCCCCCUCUAGUCCGCCAUCUCGACCCUUCACACGGGCACACUACCUAGUGAGAUAUAAAAGUAGAGUUAUGAAUAGUUUGAAUGCAAGGUUUUACUCUCCAAACUUUGUGAUUUUUUUUCACGCCAGGGGCAUUAUGGUCUUUUUACCCUCCACUUAAUACUGUUAAGUGCUGAAAACGGACGAAAAACCAUAAAAGGAGUGAAAGUUCAUUUGAGGGCCAUAGAAGGAAGUUCAAAAAAGGGUCAUACACGGAAGGGUCAUACAAGUAAAUCUCUCUUCUUUCUCCCAUCCACCCUUCACGCGUGCGCAUUCUCUUGUCGCCGCUCUACGCCAUGUGAGCCUCGUAGUCUCCUUCUCCAGGUCUUCGUCUGGACCUUCGUCGGCAACCAACAACAACUAGGUAUGAGCACCCCUCUCUUCCCUUCCUACCGUGUUGUGCGAAAUCGAGCACCCGAACCCUAACCUAAUCUAUUUUGUUUUUUUUUUCAAAAAUUAUUACGCGUACCAUGUCAUUUACUGGGGCCACCCCUGACCAUGAGCUGGAGAUGAAGGUGGCUAAGUAUUCACGGGGGAAAGGUGACGACUCAGAGGAUGGAGGUAAUCCAUUAUUGUGAUUUUGCAAAUGAGUUGCAAGUGUUAAUCAUUCUACUUAGGAUGAAUAUGCUGGCCAGCUAUGCUACUAUAGUUUUUCUUGAAACCAAACAUUUACUAGUUUGGUUCUAGAAUGGCUUUGUGAGCGCUGUGGGACAAGAAAUAGAAGGCCAGCUCACUGUAAAAGAGAAGCUACUACAGAAAUUGAACUGUUGGAACUCUGAGAUGAGGCUAUUUCUGUACCUAGAGAGGUACAAGGGGUCGCCUCUGUUGGAUUGAUCUUCCACUAAUUAGGCCCAACGACCUAAUCAGGCCUUGACUCGCGCCCUGAUCGGGGGACCCAACCCAUUUAUGGUUGGAGGGCCCCUGUCACCCUGUGCUAUAAAAGAAAUGUAGGGGCCAGUGGCUCUUAGUACGAGGUUCACUAUGAGCCGCUAAACCGACCGAAAAAACCCUAAGCGGAUCUCGAGCAGGGGCGCAGCCAAGUGACAGGAAGCGACCUCUGCUAGUCUUCCUCGCCGCCAUCGAUAACACCCUCACUGGACUUUACCACGGUUUCCUCCCCUUCCCUCAUCGUCGUUGCCCAUGAGCAGAUCUACAUCGACCCCAUGGUGGCAUCUGGAUCCACCACUUCUACACUCUCCGACGGUCAGUGAUUUGCCCUCUCUCUCCUUCUCUCUCGAAUCUAGUAGAUCAUGUACUGAAAUACUUGGUUAUCAUGAAAUAGAAAACUUGUACUCCUCUAUUCUACUGCUAGAUCGAUCCUAUGUUUUAACAGCCUCCUCUAAUGUGAUAGUGGCCCUUACCGCUCUAGCUCACGCGCGCAAUGGUUCAUCCAAGAGGGGCAAUAUUACUGUGGCCGAAGAAGUUGAGAAAGAAAAUGAGUAAUAGGCCUUUUCUCUUGGUUCUAUGUUGUUUCCUUGGUUGUGAGUUAUCCCUUAGUUUUUUCUCACCUUGGUCGGUAAUUCUCGUCGAGCGUGUUAUUUAAGUUGUAUUAUGCCUCUAGUGCAUGUAUCUGCUUCCUUUUUAUUAAUAUAAGCUGACUUUGUUGGAUCUUUUUUUGAAAAAAAAAACUGCUAAGCAGACUGAAACAGUCAUCUCUCUCCUUUCAUUGAAUUGUUCUGAAUUUGCAUCGCAAAACAUGUUGGGUGUCUCACUAGAAAAAUCUUAGGUGUAACUAUGAACAUUAGGUGGAUGAUACAAGAAAAUCUGAUAUUAGAAACUUGUGAUUGGUUAUUGUUUGUGUAUGUUAUUGUACUACAAAACUGAUGUUUAUCUGUAUUAACUCCAAGGGAAUCAUGUUUGGAUGAACUGAUGAAGUGUAGGUUAGCAUUUAAGCAUUAUAUGAGUUUCUAGAACCUUUCUGGCAAAAAGGACAAAGCCUCAGGAAGAUUUGUAUGUAGUGUUUUAUGCAUAUUAGCUUACUGAAAGUACAAUUGUUGAGUUGAAACAUACUUGCUUUACAACAGAUCUUUCUUAUCUUAGAUCAGCUCCUAGCCCUUCAUCGUAGCAGAAUUGGGACAUCGACAUGGUCUCUAAUAUGCCACUUUGUCUAGCAAUAUCUAUAAAAGUUUAUUAUCUUAAAUAAAAAGUAGGAGAGUAGUUUUCAUAAUAAAUAUAAUGAUAGUUGAAGAUAUUGAUAUAAAUAUUUUUAGAUAUUGGUAGUUGAAGAUAUUUUUAGAUAUUGAUAGUUGAAGAUAAGUCCUUUGAAUCUAUAUAAAUAUUUUUAGAUAUUGAUAGUUGAAGAUAUUCAAAAGUUUGGCUUGACAAACUUAGAUGGACUCGUAUUUGUGAUAACAGAAAGUAGCAAUUUGUGAAACAGCAUGCCUACCUUUUUGAAGACAGUAUGAGGGGCUUUAUUGCUUUUGUUGGUGUUUGUGUUGGCAUUCUUGUCUCACUACUGCUAUGUACCUCUGGAUUUCGCCCCGUCUUGUCACCUUUCAUUCCUAGCUUUGCAGAUAUCUGUGGAAAUAUAUUAAGAGGGUGAUAAACUUAAAUGUUUAUCUUUUAGAUUAGAUUCCUUAGUUUGACUAGCGAUUCUCAUAACCUUCAUUUGUGAUGGUUAUGCUCAUGAAUUAGCUAUUGUUAACAUGUGCGCCGCUCUCCUAUGCAUAUGAGGAAAAAAGUCGUCGUUCAUUUUGAAGAUUUGUCCUCGUAUGUUUUCUGUUACUCAGUUUUGCAGUGGCUUAUGCCUACUAAUGAAGGUACCUUGCUCACACUUGGCAGUGGGCAGUGGCCUGGUGCCUGCCUAGCGCCCUUUGGUACCUUGCUCACACAGAUGGGGCUGGUCACCUCCUACCAUGGAUCCAUAGGUGUGUCAUUAUAUUAGUGUGUGGGGUUCAUUUCAUCCACUUGAUUUCCAAAUAUCCCUAUUUGGGAGGAGGGAGGAGAAUGGAUGGAUAUAUAUGGAGGCUGAGUCAUAUGUAAGUCUCAAAAGGGUUUGGUUGUGUUGGUCAAGCUCCCCUUUGCCACAUAGGUAGCUUAGUAAGCACCAAGUUGUUCGAUCAUCCAUGUCCGCGGUGUAGCAUGAACACUUAAAAAAAUAUGUGGCAACUUUUAGCUACUAUCAAGAUGCAAGUUCUACAUUUAAUUCAAUAAAUUUUGUGAAACUUAGGAUGGUUUGAUUUAGAAUAAUAGAAAAUCUAUUAUAUUUUAGGAUAACCGAAAACCUAUUAUAUUCAAGACGGAGCGAUAUUGUUGGUGUUUGGUAUCACCGGUAAGUAGAUUUCAUGUCACCCGUGGGAUUCCCAAUGGGUAUCACAUAUGACUCCAAGAUACAACAUACUACUGGAUACGUAUAAAUGUGAAUAUUAUUCUGUAAAAACUUAGUCAAAUGUGAAUUAUUUUACGUGGCAUACAACAUGCUUUUUUUUGAGAGGUAGUAAGUAGUUUGCUACGGAUGUAGUAAUUGUCAGCUAAUGCAGUGAGGUCACGACAAUGGAUAUGCAUUCAAGCAUACACAACAGAUUUUUCAAUUUCUCCUAGUAAUGUGGAGUUCUCCUAGUGUUUUAGCAUUUAAAAUUUAGUAUAAACUUUUCCUAGUAAAUGCCUCCUAGUAAGGAUUCCCUAGUGUUUGACUAGUGGUAGUGUUUUAUUACUAACUAAAAACACUAGCAGAACUCCACCAUUUUGGUAGUGAUACGGGCGGGCGGAAGGCACUGUAAACUCAGAUCAAUACUAAUUUAUGGCGGCUUUCCUGAAAAACUGAUUUUCUCCGAGACCUUCCUGUCGGGAAAACGAUACAAAAUCAUUCCUCGAUCAGCAUGGUCUUUUUUCACCAUUUGUUUUCAUCUCUUCAGGCCCUAAUUUCAACCAUGCAGCCGUCUAGGUGAUUAUAUCAAAUGGACAAACUAGAAGCUAGCUAGCAAUCUUAGGGGCACUUUGUUAAUCACCGCAACGAACAUGAAAACAAAACAAGCAGGAGGUGGGCGGCAUCAUCUGUGAACUUGUAGUACGCUGUCUGUUGACUAGUAUAACUAGUCACUUGCCAGACCUACCUGUUUCAUUGGUCCCAUCACUACUAAUUUAUGGCGGCUUUCACACAAAAAGCACCACAAGACCUUCAUGGGUUCCUGUCAUAGAAAGAGAGUACAAAAAUUGUGUGCUCGAUCUUCGCCUGACCUUUUUUCCCCAACAUGUCUGCGUGCACUUGGUUUCAAACAUAUACUCACUCAGUCACUCUACCAAAUAAAUAAUUAACUUGUUCGCUUGAGCUUAUCAGCUGAAUCUACCAGUUAUUUAAUAGUGUUUUUCUCUCAAAACAAAUCAACCAACAGUACUUUCUGUCAUGGUUUAUCACAACAAAUCAGCUAACAGUACUUUCUGUCAUGGUUUAUCAGCCAAACGAUGGUAUCAAAUAAGUAUAAUAUGAAAAUAUAUUUUAUGAUGAAUUUUUAGAGGCGUUAACUAGAUAUAUAUAUUAUUGCUAGAUGGUUUGAGUGUAUUGCGUUGCACAGAUUGCAGCCAGUUUAACUGUCGGAAAUGGACGAAUCAUAGGGCACAUUGCUUUGCAUGUGUCUAUCUGCGUGUAGUAACUCAAUUUGCCAGUUUAAUUUGUCUCCACACUUCUAACUUUCCGGUCUUCUUUGAUGGGCACUUCAAAUUUGUAUACGCUUCUAAUGGGGAAUAUUUUUUGUGGCUCUCUUUAUUUCGAAAUCAUUAAACCUUUCCUACCUCGCGUGUCUAUAGUGCAAUUAUUAUCUGUCGAAAUCUCCACGGAUGCACGUCUCCCGUUUUCAAAUGGCAGGAUCGGGACCUUUUGUAUGCAUAAAACGGCUGCGUGUAGUGUAGUGCAAUUAUUUGUGUGUCCCACGUUUUCGGUAGCGGUUACUGUCGCUGAUUAGCAUCCGGCUUCUUCAUGCGAUUUAAGAAACUGAUCUUUCUUGAUACGAGCCAACCCCGGACCUUUGCGGUUUAGCUAGUUUAUUAUCCAUUUGAUUCGUUUGUUGGACCAAAUGCACCACAGUUUCAACGGCCUUUUGCAUCAGAGGCGUAUUAAAAACUCACCGAUUUCGACCUCUUGGCAUCGUAUGUACAAGUAGAUUGCUGAGCAGUGGGUGAGCAACCGGCGACGUGCUUGUCUGGCUCCCCGGCCGGUCGUAUCUGUCGCCCUCGCCCAUACUGAAGUAGAAGAAGAGGGAGAAGAAACACUGCUACUUGCUCGGCAAAAUACAAUAAGGCCUUGUUCAGUUGGCAAAAACCGGUGAAAAGCGGCACUGUAGCACUUUCGUUUUUAUUUGACAAAUAUUAUUCAAUUAUAGAAUAACUAGGCUCAAAAGAUUUAUCUCGCGGUUUACAGAUGAACUGUGUAAAUAGUUUUUGUUUUCAUAUAUAUUUAAUGCUCCAUGCAUGUGCCGUAAGAUUCGAUGUGACGGGGAAUCUUGAAAAAUUUUGCGAACUAAACAAGGCCUAAGGUGCCGUCGGUGAACGGCGAUAUGACACUGCGACACUGUGACAGUAACAUUUAACCAUGCUGUGAUGAAAUCUAGCCUGAGAUUCCGAUCAGCUGUUCCCAACGCUAGCCUGAUGAGCAUCACAAGUCAAAACAACGUCGGCUUUGUUUAGUUUAUCCCAAAAUUCAAAAACUUUUUAAGAUUCUCUUCACAUCGAAUCUUAUAAUAUAUGCACGGAGCAUUAAAUAUAGAUAAAAAAUAACUAAUUAUACAAUUUACCUAUAAUUUAUGAGACGAAUUUUGUAAGUAUAGUUAGUUCAUAACUAAACAAUAAUUAUUAAAUAUAAACGAAAGUGUUAGUAUAAAAAUCUAAAAAAAAUAGAUCUAAACCAGGCCAUCGUUAUCUUGCAUGCAUGAUUUGGGUGUGAGCUCCAGAGUCUGAAAGACUGAAACCAAGAGAGCUCGGCGCCAAAAUUUCGAGCUCGUGCGUUGACCAAUCUCAGUGAUGGGCCGGCAACCGGUAGGUUGGGCUCCGAAGGGAAUCUCGGGCGGGCCAUCCCCUCUGACUUCACUUGAAGGAAAACCCAUGGCCACCUUUCGUCAAAUUUCCACUGCAUGCACAGUGUCAUCUUGCGCAAGUAUUCGUCUCGUCAAUUUCGAUCAAACUAUGUAAUUAGUUUUUAUUUUUGUCUAUAUUUAAUAAUCUAUGCAUGCGUCUAAAGAUUCGAUGAGAUAAGAAAUCUUGAAAAAUUUUAGGUUUUAGUGUGAAAGUAAACAAGAGCUUAGAGAGGACCAAACAGAGACAAGCCAAAAAUGCUGAUUGACUGAUGUGGUUUACCGAAUUGACCGUGCAUCUUAGUGAGAGCACAGAUCGUUGCCAAGCAGUUGUUUUCCUUGGAGACGCCAUGAGAUGAGGUUGAGGUAAACCGUAAAUCAACAAGUAGGAAAAUGUCCGUGUUCUUUUGCAGCCGGGAGUUUUGGUUGGUGGAAGCGCUAUCCUAUCAGGCCGGGCGUCCUUUCAGUGGUUCAUAAUCACAUCCUCGUCAUCGGUGAUCGAUCCCAAUCAAUGCACACGUUGCAGCAUGCUUGCAGUUGCAGCCAGCUCUCUCCGUUGACUUGUUGACCUUCUGCACUGCACCGGUGUACUAGUAGUCUACUACUUGUACCCUACCGUAAGUAGUACUGAUACUGAACUGAUGCGUUCGCCAAAUAAAUUCGAGAGCUGGUCAAACAAAUCAACGUCACGUUGAUACUCUUACCGCCUAGAUCCUUGAUUUGCACGGAAUUUAUAUACACAAUAGCGUGGACGAAAGGCGGCUGUUAAUGCUGUAAAGCUGAUGUAACAAAGACAUCAACCAAUACAAAGUGUGGAGAGCCGUUUUCUCUGAACAUGGAAGAUGGAUAAGGUAACCACUGACCCGUAUCACACAACUAUCUAGUCUAGGGGUGUAAAACAGAUAUUUUAGUUUGCAGCCUGGACCAUUUCGUCGCGGUCGUCCACACAUGUGUGGUCGCUUGGUUUAUUGUAUGCAUCAUUUCGGUUUACGAGGUGUGAACUGCACUUGCGUUGCGGAUCGCCCAUGCAUGCAUAAUUCAGUAGAUAGAUAGACGCUUAUCCUGAUCUUAUAUUAUUAUUAUAGCAUGGAGCACGGUGGCUUGUCGAUGGAGCUAAUUAAGAUAUGCAGAUAUAUAAGCGCGCGUGCACGGUGCACCCAUGUCGACCUGCCCCCGUUGAAAUCCGGGUCAGCAGUCAGCACACGGCCUGCAGUCGCGUUUCCUCCGUGAGAGUGAGAUGUGGCACCGCGACGGCGAUGGGUUUCCUGGCCGACAGCAAAAGAAAAACGCGAUCGGAGUGGGCUAUCCGCGAUCGAUUGGCGAGGGGAGCUAGACGCCCGCCAUCCCCUAUCCCUGUGUGGCUGUGUGCCUCUCGCGGGCGGCUGCGCGUUGCCGGCUGGGGGUCAGAUGAGCAGAGACCCCGGGGUCGCAACCACCGGUGGAGCUGCAGCUGCUGGAGCAAACUGCGGCCAAGCAACGGGACCGCGCGACGGGGACGGCAGCCGAUCGAGAGCGACGCCCCCUCGUCAUCAUGCCGCGGAAGUCGCCCAAGUAAAAGUCUACGCGCGUGACGGGGGUGCAGUAGCGUAGUGAUCCACCUCGACGCGCUUGCGCUUGGCCGAUAGCCAACUCCGCACACGUGACAUCUCCAUCUCCUUGCCCAAGAACGGAUCGUCGGUCUGAUCUUCCUGUGAUCCCAGUACCUGUACAGGCUACAGUGCCGGUCUCUGGACCACCACUGGAGAGUGGAGGCACGCGAGGGCGACUGGGCCUGGGCGAGGGCGAGGUCGGCUCGGUCAAUGCAGGCUCGUCGCAGCGACAGAUAACACAGAUUCGGCCGCGCCUGCGUACUGGUAUCCUAAUAUUGUACUCCUACUUUGUAUCCUCUAUCGGAGGCAGAGAGUACACCUACUAUACCUAUACGGCGGAGGAGCUGGCACGUUCCCGUUCGCACAUCGCUGUCCGCCGGUCAGUGCACUAUUGUUUUUUCUUACAGUGCAGCGCACCUGGUCCCGACCGAUUUCCACGACAUUCGGGGGUACUACAAAGCAGUUUCACCGGGGCACGUAAAAGUAAAGAAAGGCUCGUUCACCGGGUGACGUGCACGCCUGACGGCCGGGCAAAUCGUCCAUUCGCCCUGCCUCUUCGCAAAGUUUGACGGAUGGAUGCCAUACAAGGCAUGCUGAGGCCAUGUUUAGUUUGUAAAAAUUUUCAAGAUUUUCCGUCACAUCGAAUUUUUAGUCGCAUGCAUGGAACACUAAAUAAAGAUAAAAAUAAAAACUAAUUGUACAGUUUAUCUGAAAUUUAUGAGAUGAAUCUUUUGAGUCUAGUUACUCCGUGAUUGGACAAUGUUUGUCAAAUAAAAACGAAAGUGCUACAGUAGCCAAAAAACCAAAAUUUUGCCAAAUAAACAAGGCCUGAGUCUCGAGCAAUAAUUUGCCGCUCCAAAAAGUCCGAUAAACUUCAACGACAAUCUCGCCAGCCGAUUGGGCCAGAAAAUCGUGGACUCAUGAAGUGAUCUACGUCGUACACCUACUGUACUUUACCAGUCAGUCUUUUCGAAAGCUCUAGUCUGUCGAGCUCUACAGCUAUACUCAUACACGGGUUAGAUCCUAAGAUACGUAAAUAAAUAUCUAAAGGCAUCGUGUACAACUAAUCAAAAUUUAUCUUUACUCUUUAUUUGUCCCUUUUAAUUCAAUAUACACAUAGAUAUACUUUAUAAGUUCUAUUCAGUUGUAGUAUAAACUUAUCAAUUAGUACUAUAUAUAUAUGUUUUGUUCGCCCAUAUCCAUAGAGUUUUUCCCUUCGCCGUCGCACAUCCCCUUGUAUUUUCAAUGUGUUAGCUCAAAAUAUGCCAUGUCUUGUUGCAUGCCAUAUCUUUGACAUCAUAAAUCUAUAUUUUCACUUUCAUCUUAUUAUUAUUAGUCGCAACAUUUUUUAUCUGUGGGGUAAGUACAAAUUUCUUGUGCUCAUUGUACUUUUUAGUCAAAACUCUUACUUUGUAUUCUAUGAAAGUAUUUUAGUUCUACAUACAUUGCAACAUUAAUUACCACAAUGGCACUCAAGAUCAUUGGUGGAGCUUGAAGUGAAAACUAAGAUGAGUCAACAAGCUAACCUCAAGUGUAUAUUAAUAUCUAAGUCUCAUGAUCAUUGCGUACUCUAAAUAAAUAUAAAGAACCACAAGGAGGCUAUAUGGUACAGUUAGUCUACACUAAUAUUUGUUGCGGAUCAAAAUGUUGAAUUUCAUCUAUCAAAGAAUUAUAGUGAAUCUUAAAGAAAAUAUGGCGCCUACAAUUCUACUACCAAUAUAGAUAUAUCAUAAUGUUUCAGUCAUAAUAUGUAUAAAUUGAUCUAAAGCAGUAAUUUACACAAUUUGUUAUCAUGAUAUAAUUUAAAAAUGGUUUGCUAGUUUCAUUGGUAUGUGAAUCGUGAAGGUGGGAUUUUUCAUGUUUCCUAAAAUUUUGAAACUCUUGCAUGCUUCUAUACUGUCAUUUAAGCCGCAUGUGUUCUAUACUUGCUUUAUAUGAUGGCACAACAUGUAUGUUUACUUUAGGUUAUUUUUUUAUAGAUUGAUAUUGAUAUAAGUGGGUCAUUUUAAAAACAUAUAUAACAUAAUCUAUGGUUACUGAAAACUUUUAUAAUAGCAUAUAUUGGUAAUUUUAUGUAGUUUUAAGGAGAUAUUUCAGUUUGUUUUUAAUAUUGCAGAAGUGAGUAAAUACAAGAAAAUUAAAGUGGUUAGUUAUAUUAUUUACAUUUAUGGCAGCAUGGGUAAUUUAGAUGUAAAUUUAGAUAUUGCUUUAGAUAAUGUUUGAUAGUGGUAAAAGUGGGUAAUUUAGGGGGGGUGGGGGGGUUACCUUAUGUUUUCCUAUAAUAAGAUAUUGUGAGUAUUUUUUUCAAAACAUAAUAGAUACAUCACCUUUAAUUAUUAAUGGUGAUGAAAGACUACCAACUUCAUGACCUUAUUUUUUAUUUUAUUUUUUGAGAAUUUUUAAAUUUACCUUUUUAGUGUGUUUCAUGUGCAUUAACGUGAAGGUUUUGUAUAGGAUAGGAGGCCCUUGAUAUUACUGAAGUAUGUGUCUCCACUUAUACUAAAUGAAACAAGAAAAACUACUAGAGUUCCUUUUCCAAUUAUAGGACUUGAAUCGUAAGAACAAAGUACAAUAUAUUUGAUUAGUUAACAUGUGGUUGUCUAAAGUAAUAACCUUCAGCUGGUAUCCCUUUUAUGUGCACAUAUCUAACAAAUGGACAUACUUGUAACUUGCAUUAUAUAAUGCAAAAGGUGGUAGGGAAAUGCCAGGAAUUCACUAUACACUAGGAAUAAUAUACGAGAGAGUAACAUUUAUUUUCUAUAUUUUAUUUAACUUUAAUAGUCAGGAUUUAAACUCAAGAACUUUGGCCCCAGUACAAAAUGAGUUGCAUGCUCCUAUCCAUUCAACUUAAGAACUUAAGGUGAUAGGAAAAUGUGAGCAAUUCACUUAUGCUUCAAGACUGUACUAUAUAGCCUAUUUCAAGGUUUGCUAUUUUGCUGAUUUUUGGAUAAAAAGGUUACUCCAUCUGUUAAAAAUAUAUGUUACUUUAGUUUUGUCCUAAGUCAGACCUUCAAACUUUGACCAUUAAUUAUAGAUGCUAAUAUAUUUUUAACAUAACUAAUCAAGUUUUAAACACCUCAUUAGAUAAAACUUAAACAAAAUGAUCUUUUGGAAUGGAGUUUAUAAUAGGGUUGCUUAUGAAUUAGGCCAACAUGCUUGUAAACAUCUCUCUUUGAUGGUGUGGUUCAAGAGAGCACCGAUGAUUGUAUACAUGUUCAUCUCUAAUAUAAAGCUCAACCUUUCUUCGAAAAAAUUGAGGAAGUAGAAGUUAGAUUUGUGAACGACAAGGAUGAUUAGCUAUCAUGGGAACAUACAAGAAUUGUUGAAGUAUUAUUGAGAUUUGGGAGAUUUUGGUUAUCUGAAAUUUUCAGAUUUGUAAAUUACUAUGUCAUCAGCUAUUGACAAGUUGCAGUGCUCAUUUGUUGUUUCUUGAUAAUACGAGGCCACUUGUUACCUUGUUGGCUGCUCAAUAGCCGGAGACAGGAAAUCAGUUAGGCUGAAAUGCUGAAUUGUUUUCUUUGAAAUUUGGUUCAAGUCAUAGAUUAACCACGAAUACUACUGUUUAUAUAACAAUCAGUCAUACUUUUUUUUUGGAAACGAUGCUCAGCUGGCUGGAAGCUGGAACAGGACAAUUAUUAACCCAGAAGCCGCAAAUAGUUUUGGCGCUUCAAUUAUACGAGUAUAUGAUGGAAACCCUUUCAUCACCGAAUAAAGAUUUUUUAAAAAUUAAUUUAUGGAUCUCAAACUGAGGCAGGCAUUUUUUUGGGGCGAUGAAGGCAAUGAUCUCUGACUUGCGUUGCCCCUGGAAUAACAUUUUCAGCCGGUAGGACGAGUUCUUCAUUUUAAAACAGUAAAUUAGAUUCGAGUAGGUAGUAAGCUAUGGUUUUCUCAGGUACUGUAACGUUUAGCUGUGUACAUGUGGCAUGUGAACGUAGUUGCAAUGCAAGUUGCAGUUUAUUCACUAAUCACUAGUAGUAGACUAGUAGUCUAUUGCAAGGUGCACAUGGCCAUCUGACCUCAACGUAUGAAUUGUACUGGUGGUGUUUGGGCUUCACCUCAUUAAAAUUAGCUUUGCUCCAUCAUCUCCAUCAUGUAGCAGCUCUGCUCUGAAGUUGGGCAUCUCCAUCAUGUAGCAGCUCUGCUCUAAAGUUGGGCAUCUCCAUCAUGUAGCAGCUCUGCUCUGAACCUUACAAUGGUUUUUAUUCUCACUAAAAAAAAGCUAAAGCAGUCUCAUAUUUAAUUUUACGCCUGCAAUCCAAAACAUUUCCCCCUCGAACCAUCUCUAAAAUGUCCUCUCCACUCCCUCAAAUGCUAUCAAGAACACAAGUGAUUUUAGAGGUGGCAGCGCUAAGAUCAGAGGUUGCAGCUCUGUUUGAUGGUGAUACUAGGAGAGAUUUGAACAGUGUGAAAUGGAAUAGAUGUGAACAAAGAAAACGUCACACUUAUAUUUUUUAGAGUAGAGCUAAAAUUAGUAGAGUGGAGCAGCCUCGGUAGACCCAUAUUUUUUAUUCUUCAUAAAUUCCUUGCUAUGAACUAAGCACAAGUUAUAAGCCAACAUAUAACACACUGAUCUAGUAUCUUAAUACAACAAUAUUUAAAAACCAGAACAUUCACCGAGAGGGUCUAAAAACUACCACAUCAAUCCAGAAAAAGAUUUAGAUCCUUCUUUUGGAUAUUAUAAUGAUCUAACUACUUAGAUUAAACAAAGAGUACAUACCCAAUACAAUUAACAGCUAGUAAACUAAAAAUUAUGAAUUAAAUAAAAAAUCAUUUUGAUUCCCAUGUGAGUUGGAAAGAGUGAUGCCUAAAUAAAGAGCCCAUGUAAUAACACACGUAGUAAAGACAAAAUUAACUAAUAAAAUCAAUAGUUUUAUCUCCAAAUAAUUGAAAAGGAAAAGUCACUAAAUAUAAAAGGAAUAUCAAUUAUAAUUAUAAAAUGUAUACAUUCUACAUUGAUUUUUUUUAAAAAAAUGGUACUUUAAUUUCUACUAGCAAACAUGUCCUUGUGUUAUCACAGAAUCCAAUACAUAUAAGAAUCAUCAUUGUUACUUAAAAAUAUUUUGAACUGAAAAAGAUCGAGACAUUACAGUGAAAAAAGUUGGUAUCCACAUUAUCUAGGGCCUUGUUUACUUGCAAAAUAUUUUGCAAAAUAUGAAUAGUACUAAUUUCGUUUGUAUUUGACAAAUAUUGUCCAAUUAUGGACUAACUAGGCUUAAAAAAUUUGUCUCGUCAAUUCCGACCAAACUGUGUAAUUAAUUUUCAUUUUAAUCUAUAUUUAAUGUUUUAUGCAUAUGUUGAAAGAUUCGAUGUGACGGGAAAUCUAAAAAAUUUUAUAAAUUUUUUGGGAACUAAACAAGUCCUGGGCCGACGAGCUCGGUAGUUACCAGUACAUAGGCUGGUUAUUGCUUUGUCUUUUUCUGACGAAAGAAGCUAAAAUUUUGCCUUAUAAUAUGCUACCUGUAUGACUUUGUUAAUGCAAAACAACAAUGAUUUUUGCACGCACACUAAAAAGUCUCUCUGUAGGCUGCACUAGCUAGGGUGAACUUUUCCCCUCUUCUUGGCUCUUAUAAUCCAAAGAUAUCAUGUUACAAGUACUUACAAAGAAAGCAAAUCAAUCACUGGUGUGCGCGCGCUUUUACAAUUGUUUAUUGUCACUUGCAUUACCUAAUUCAGCUUAUCAAAGGAGAGCCGUUGUCCCAUCUGGCAUAGACGAGAGAGAGCUCAAGGCCUAGUUCAAUCUGAAAAACCAAAAAGUUUUCAAGAUUCCUCGUCACAUCGAAUCUUAUGGUACAUGCAUGAAAAUAUUAAAUAUAGACGAAAAUAAAAACUAAUUACACAGUUUAACUGUAAAUCACGAGACAAUUUUUUUGAUCCUAGUUAGUCCAUAAUUAGAUAAUAUUUGUCACAAACAAACGAAAAUGCUACACCGAAAACUUUUCAUUUUUCGGAACCCAAGAAACGCCGGACGAGCCAACAACCAGUGGGACCAAUGACGUCAGGAUCCCGGACCCAGUGGUCAUUCUCAUGCAGCUCAGUAAGACGCCGGUGUCUGCAACUGCAACCUGGGAGCAGUGGCCCACACCAACAGUGACCGCAUGUGGGCCCGUAUUUCUUUCCAGUUCUUCGUUUGAAACUCGCUUGGAUGGAGCCGACCGGUGAUCCUGCCUCCUCUUGUCUAUAUAUUGCGUCCUUGAGAUAGAACACUACACUGCGUACAGCACACAGCACCACUAAUAAACCAUCGGCAUCGAGUCUGCAGUACAGCACAGAGCAGAGCAAGAGGCCGUCAACGAUGGCUUCCGCUGCGCUGCCAGAGGCCGUCGAGCCCGGGAAGAAGGGCAACGUCCGCUUCGCCUUCGCCUGCGCCAUCCUCGCCUCCAUGACCUCCAUCCUUCUUGGCUAUGGUACAAACACUCGCUUGAGCUUAUCAGUCAAUCAGUGUUUUUUUUCUCAAACCAAAUUAGCAUUAGCAUCAGCCGCAGAAGAAACGGACGGUUCGAUUAGUUUUUGCUUUUUUGCAUGGGCAUGGGCUCAUGAUGUACGGCCGGUCUUUGCAUUGCAGAUAUCGGAGUGAUGAGCGGUGCGUCGCUAUACAUCAAGAAGGACCUGGGAAUCACCGACGUGCAGCUGGAGAUCCUGAUGGGCAUCCUCAACGUCUACUCCCUCAUCGGCUCCUUCGCCGCGGGACGGACGUCCGACUGGAUCGGCCGCCGCUACACCAUCGUCUUCGCUGCGGUCAUCUUCUUCGCGGGCGCCUUCCUCAUGGGCUUCGCCGUCAACUACGGGAUGCUCAUGUUCGGCCGCUUCGUCGCCGGCGUCGGCGUGGGCUACGCGCUCAUGAUCGCGCCCGUGUACACCGCUGAGGUGUCCCCCGCGUCGGCCCGCGGCUUCCUGACGUCCUUCCCGGAGGUGUUCAUCAACUUCGGCAUCCUUCUGGGCUACGUCUCCAACUACGCCUUCUCUCACCUCUCGCUCCGCCUCGGCUGGCGCGUCAUGCUCGGCAUCGGCGCGGCGCCGUCCGUCGUGCUCGCCCUCAUGGUGCUGGGCAUGCCCGAGUCGCCCCGGUGGCUCGUCAUGAAGGGCCGCCUGGCGGAUGCCAAGGUGGUGCUGGGGAAGACCUCCGACACGCCAGAGGAGGCCGCGGAGAGGCUCGCUGAUAUCAAGGCGGCCGCCGGCAUCCCACAGGAGCUCGACGGCGACGUGGUCGCCGUGCCCAAGAAACAGAACAGCGGCGAGGCGCGGGUGUGGAAGGAGCUCAUCCUGUCCCCGACCCCGGCCAUGCGCCGCAUCCUCCUCUCGGGCCUCGGCAUCCACUUCUUCCAGCAGGCGUCCGGCAUCGACGCCGUGGUGCUCUACAGCCCGCGCGUGUUCAAGGCCGCCGGCAUCACCAGCGACAACCAGCUCCUGGGCACCACCUGCGCGGUGGGCGUCACCAAGACGCUCUUCAUCCUGGUGGCCACGUUCCUGCUCGACAGAGUCGGCCGGCGGCCGCUGCUCCUGAGCAGCGUGGGCGGCAUGAUCAUCUCGCUGGUCGGCCUCGCCGCCGGGCUCACCGUCAUUGAGCACCACCCGGACGGCAAGAUCCCCUGGGCCAUCGGUGUGGCCAUCGCGUCCACCAUGGCCUACGUGGCCUUCUUCUCCAUCGGCAUGGGCCCCAUCACGUGGGUGUACAGCUCCGAGGUGUUCCCGCUGCACGUGCGCGCGCUCGGCUGCGCACUGGGCGUGGCCUCCAACCGCGUGACCAGCGGCGUGAUCUCCAUGACCUUCAUCUCGCUGACCAAGGCCAUCACCAUCGGCGGCGCCUUCUUCCUCUACGCCGGCGUCGCGGUGCUCGCGUGGGUGUUCUUCUUCACCUUCCUCCCGGAGACCCGCGGCCGGACGCUGGAGGCGAUGCACAAGCUGUUCGGCGCCACCGACGACGACCUGAAACCCCAGGACGGAGCCACGAAAGACAAGAAGCUCGAAAUGGCCGCCACCAACUAAUGACUUCAAAAUAGAGGGUCUUAUUGAGGGGGUUCAUGCGAAGAACUUGAGCAGUAGGCAGCUAGCUAGCUGCCAUUGUUGCCAUAUGAGAUAGCUAGGGUGAAGUAACGUGGGAAGAUUCGCUCGCUGGUCCGGUGCAGCUGGAGAACGACAGCCAGCAAAGCUCGAUCAGGCCGGCCAGCUCGUGGCUCUUAAAGCUUCUUAAUUCAUUUCUAAGUACAUGCCCUGUGUUUCGUGCUUUGUUUUGUCCGUAAGAUGGGUGAGCUAGCUAGCAAGUUGUUGGAGUCGCUGUGGCCGCCAAUGGCAUGUUGCCGGGUGUGUAGUGUACAUUACUAGAGGUGUCAGUCACGUUAGUUCGUCCUGUAAUAACUAUAUAAGCUGUGUGUAACGGGUGGUGCUGUUGCCUCGCUGCACGAGUCAUGGAGGCUAGAAAAUUGGUAGUGGUUUACUGAGGGAGUCAAGCAAGCCAUGGAGAAAGUGUAAUAAGGAAACGAUAUCUACCAUGAUCUAAUGGAUUUAAUUUGUCGUUCUGCGAUCAUGCGGAUAUUAUUUAUCAUUAUCAAAUGGUAACCGUUGGUUAACGCAGCAAGUUAGGCUUAAUCAACUGCUCACGCCUCACGGGAUUGGAAUCUGGGGUUGGGGUGUGGUUCACAUAUAUAUAGCUUAAUAAACUUCAAGUACCUUGUCAGUGCCCCAAUUUCGAGAGACGAGUGAAGCCUUGUUUAGUUGAUCCCAAAAUUCAAAAACUUUUCAAGAUUUUUCAUCACAUCGAAUCUUGUCGUACAUGCAUAGAAUACUAAAUAUAAAUAAAAAUAAUAAUUAAUUACAUAGUUUGUAUGUUAUUUGAGAGACGAAUCUUUUGAGCCUAAUUAGUCUAUGGUUAGACAAUAAUUACCAAAUACGAACGAAAGUGAAACGGCAAAAACUUUUUAAAUCUAAUAAAUAAGGGCCCGAGAGUUCAAAUGUAGGUUGGUCAAUGAACCUGCUAGACCACUAUAACCAACGGGAUGAUCUUUCCUAGUUAAUUUAGUACUAUUAUACUCCCUCCAUCUCAAAUUGUAAGUCAUUUCAAAAAUCUUGGAGAGUCAAAUUUUUCUAAGUUUGACUAAAUUUAUAUUAUAAAAUAAUAAUUAUUAUAGUACUAACUAAGUAUCAUUAGAUUCUUUCUUAAUUAUAUUUUCAUAAUAUAUUCACUUUACGUUACAAAUCUUAGUAUUUUUCUCUAUAAUUUUGGUCAAACGUGAAAAUGGUUUGACUCUCCAAAAUUCUUGGAAUGACUUACAAUUUGAGAUAGAGGGAGUAACUAAUAAUAACACAUAUGUAAUCCUUAAUCCUAAUUACUAUAUGGUGUGGCAUUGGCAUGUGGAUGGGCCGUGUUAAUUUUCGAGCCAUGCGUGUGCGGGCCUGCUAGUCAACGGACGAUUGCUGGAAUGAGACCCAAACGUUGGACCUAUAUAUAGUCACUUGUCAAAAAAAAAAAAGUUGGACCUAUAGUCGUUUGAUGCAACUUUCCAUUUUUGAAAAGUUAUAAUAAACUUAUAUGCACACAAUUUGGACGUAUAAUUUUUUGUGGGACAGAAGUUACAUGUAGGGAUCUGGCUCUUAAAACGGCUCUCCAGCUUCGGCUCCAGUUUCUCAUAUGGAGCAACAUCUCUGCUUGAGCUGAAUGUCGUUUGGUAAAACAUUUGAGAAAAACAGUUAGGGUUUAGGAGGAGGGUGGCAAGGAACACCAAUGUCUUAGCUUAGAAGGGGGCUUGGGGGCGGUGACCAUACCGGUGGCCGUGGUGGUUCAGCCCAUGUUGAGCAAGACUAAAAAGGACAUCUGAAGGUGGUUAGGUGAGGGUGGAGGCUGAUUGAAAGACCUAAUUGGAUUUUGGUAAUUGACUGAUAAUACUUGUGCACUAUCAUGUUUCAUGUGAUAUAAAUGGUUAGGCUUAGUCUACAACCUAGAGUUGAGCUUCAUGAAGCCAUAAAGUGGAGAUGUCAACUUGUCAAGGAUCAAAUGGUACAAAGGCUCAACAAGUGAAGAGUGAAGGCGAUGGAUGCUUGCUGUGGCAGAUAAGCUCUUUGAGGAGAUGAUGGAGAAGCGCAAAGGAGGAAAAAAAGUGCAAGGCCAAGGUAUAGCUAUAGGACUUUGUUUUCGCUGGCCAUGUGUAUUAGAGAAGAAAAGACAGUUGUACUAUAUAUAAUGAUGAAAAAAAAUAUUUUUUUAAAUUCUAACUCAUUCCUAAAGGUGAUGGUCAUCUAGAUUGAUACUUAUUGUAGUCAUUUGAAAAUGUUUGAAAAUGGAGCUUGGUGGAGUGUUUUUACACUAAUGGCUCCCGUGAGCACUGGGGAGGUGGCACCGAAGCUUUGGCGCAAUAACUAGGUUUGUUAUGAGAAUAUGUUCCAAAUUAAGCUAGUGAUAUCUAUCGUAAAUAUUAUUAGUUAUAUAUAUUUAGGAUAAAUUAACUGUUUUAGAAGUUAUUUUUUUAAACAGAGGGAGUUAAGAAAGAAAGAAAGAGAAGAUGGAGGAAGAAGCAGCCGAACUGCCUGUUCUCGGACUCUUGGUGGUCAAAGGGCCACGUCACCGUGGGGAGGAGCAUACUCCCUUCACGUCAGAUUUAAGAAUUCGUUUUGGACAGCGACACGGUCUUCAAAACACAAUUUUAACCUUUUAUUUUUAUAAAAAUAUUUAUAAAAAAUGAUAUAUACAUAUAUUUAUGAAAGUAUUUUUCAUGAUAAAUCUAUUCAUAUUUUUUAUUUACAAACUCAAUAAUUUAAAAAUUAUUUGAUUUUUAUUCUCAAUAUUUGACCUAAAUCUUGUCUAAAACAACUUCUAAUUUUGAUACGAAUAGAGAGUACGGAGUAUCUGCUUGUACAUUUUUCAGAAAAAAAUGUAUAUGUUGAGAAAAGCAGCUGAGCUGCCUUUACUCAAGUCACAGUCGUCCAGCGCCAUGCCAUCAUUGACUGGAGGACCAAAUGAAAUGAUCCUAUCCUGUAUCAGACCAUUGGCCAUUGGCCCAUUGCUCUUUGUCUGUACUCUAUAUAUAUGCGUCUGCUUCAACACAACACUUCAGUAAAUCACACAUUUUGUCUCUAAUCAGAGAUCAAGAAGUAGCCCUUAAGUUAACGAUGGCUUCCGCCGACCUCGCAGAGGCCAUCGAGCCCACGAAGAAGAGCAACGUCAAGUAUGCCUCCAUCUGUGCUAUCCUCGCCUCCAUGGCCUCCGUCAUACUCGGCUAUGGUACCCGUUCUUUCAUCGUUGUCGAAAUAUUUUUCGUUUUGCUUUCCAAGAGUUUGUAGACGAAGUUUGUGUACUGUCAAUCAACUCUGUAGACAUUGGGGUGAUGAGUGGAGCGGCGAUGUACAUCAAGAAGGACCUGAAGAUCACGGACGUGCAGCUGGAGAUCAUGAUAGGAAUUCUCAGUGUCUACUCGCUGAUCGGAUCCUUCGCUGGCGCGCGGACGUCCGACAGGAUCGGUCGCCGCUUGACUGUCGUCUUCGCUGCUGUCAUCUUCUUCGUGGGCGCGUUGCUCAUGGGUUUCGCCGUCAACUACGGCAUGCUCAUGGUGGGACGCUUCGUGGCCGGAGUUGGUGUGGGCUUCGGGGGUAUGAUCGCGCCCGUGUACACCGCCGAGAUCUCGCCGGCGGCAUCCCGCGGCUUCCUCACGUCCUUCCCGGAAGUGUUCAUCAACAUCGGUAUCCUGCUCGGCUACUUGUCGAACUUCACGUUCGCUCGCCUCCCGCUCCACCUCGGCUGGCGUGUCAUGCUCGGCAUCGGCGCAGCGCCGUCCGCCCUGCUCGCGCUCAUGGUGUUCUGCAUGCCCGAGUCGCCUCGGUGGCUUGUCAUGAAGGGCCGCCUCGCGGACGCCAGGGCUGUGCUAGAGAAGACCUCUGCCUCGCCAGAGGAGGCCGCAGAGCGGCUGGCUGACAUCAAGGUCGCCGCGGGGAUUCCAAAGGACCUCGACGGAGACGUGGUCACCGUACCAAAGGAGCGGAACGGUGGCGAGAUGCAGGUGUGGAAGGCGCUCAUCUUUUCCCCAAUCCCGGCGAUCCGACGCAUACUGCUAUCGGGCGUCGGCCUGCACUUCUUCCAGCAGGCUUCUGGCAGCGAUUCCGUCGUCCUGUACAGCCCGAGCGUGUUCAAGAGCGCGGGGAUCACCGACGACAACAAGCUCCUGGGCGUCACCUGCGCGGUGGGCGUCAGCAAGACGCUUUUCAUCCUGGUGGCCACGUUCCUGCUGGACCGCGUCGGGCGUCGGCCUCUGCUGCUGACCAGCGCGGGUGGAAUGAUCGUAGCUCUCAUCGGCCUCGGGACGGGGCUCACCGUCGUGGGGCAUCACCCGGACGCCAAGAUCCCGUCGGCCGUAGCUCUGUGCAUCGCGUCCACGCUGGCCUACGUCGCCUUCUUCUCGAUAGGGCUCGGCCCCAUCACGGGCGUGUACAACUCGGAGAUAUUCCCACUGCAGGUGCGCGCGCUAGGCUUCGCGGUCGGCAUGGCGUGCAACCGCGUUACCAGCGCCGUGAUCUCCAUGACCUUCCUGUCCCUCUCGAAGGGUAUCACCAUCGGCGGCAGCUUCUUCCUCUACUCCGGCAUCGCCGCGGUGGGGUGGGUUUUCUUCUUCACGUGCCUUCCGGAGACCCGCGGUCGUACGCUGGAGGAGAUGGGCAAGCUGUUCGGCAUGCCAGACAUCGACAUGGCUCAAGCAGACGACACCGCUGCCAAGGAGAAGGUGGUGGAAAUGCCCACCAUGUAGAUGGAAGGAAAACCAACUACCCUGCAGUGCUGGCAAUGAGCCAAUGAUUGAUGCAGCGUCUUUUGCCAGAGCAGAGCUCAACUCCCACAAACAAAAAGAAAAAAAAAAAACUUGAAGCAGCGUGGCAAGAUUGGCCUCGUGGACUCGUGGGGCGGCAGGAGAGAGAGUGAGAGACGGCGUGGUCCAGCGGUUCA
rnacentral:lncRNA from 1 species